GCAGCAGCUAGUGCUAUUUUUUAAAUCUACUCAAUUGGUCAAGAAAGUUUUUUGGAUGCUUCUAAAAAUAUUUAUAUGUAUAGUAUCUUUGACUUAAGAUUGUACUCCAAGCUGAGAACCAAGACACAGUUAAACAAAAAGGUUUUCUUUUUGUGUUAGUAUUUAUAAAUUCAAACCUUGACACACUAGACUAAAUCUCUAACUUUCAUACAAACUACAAAAGAUAAGUCCAUGCAAUUGCAUCACACAAUCCAAAAGUAUGUCAUCACUAAAACCUGUAGAGAAAUUGGGUUAUUAAUUUUCAACAGAGAGCGUCUGAAUUUUUGCAGUUUUUGUAGCAUCGAGAUCAGAACCAAACUAGAUAACAAAUAUGCAAUAGGCAAGUGGUGAAGAAAUAGAGCGAAGACACCAAGAAAAGGCAAGUUUAAGUUGCAGAUGCUCAACUGUAAAAUAACAGAGAUAUUGCAGGUUCAUAUAAUAGGAAAGAUGGCACAGAAGAAGCAUGGACAAACUCACAGCUCUUUUGAAAGCCAAAACUCCAGCAUUGGCUUACAGCCACACUCAGUCUCGUCCUGAAAUCAGACUCAAUUUUGAUGACAUGAAGCCUUAUAAACAUAGUUAGAGAACAUUAAACUUUGUUCAUAUUGAAAAAUGGUUAACUCUUCCAUUUCUUGUCCACAUAAACCUUAAAGGCAGACACAAGGUCGCUUCUAGAACCUUUGACAGCGGCCACUAAACUAAGAUGAUUCAAAACAAAAAUAUCAUAUUCACAAAAAUAAGAUAUACAGGAACAGGGAACUCUUACGUUCUAUUGAUCAAACACCAUCUAUUCUACCUGAUUACAUUCUCAAGAGGAAUUGAAAAAAUGCUUCGGAUAGGAAAGUUUGUUGGAUGCAUGCAAGUUUAUUUGCCACAGAGCUUCCAUUAUGGAGCAGUCUUCUUUCAAUAUCUUAGGCCAUGCAAAAGGGACAUAACAUGUUAAUACAAGUUGGACAAAAAGCAUGUGGUUCUUAUAAAUGUGAUAUGUGAAUAAUGUGCGACCAAAACAAGUACAUCAAUGUAGUUCUGAGUUCUUUACAGUCAUAACCUGAAGUCUUUCGGGAUCAUCUCCGAUACUCUAUAUCUUAAGUUAACUUAUACCACCGAGGUAGAUACAAAUAAAGCAAUGAAAUAACUUUUACAACAACCUUCUCUGAUUCAAGUUUGUACCCACUAAUCCUUUAAAUUAUGGUCUUUCUUUUUCUUGAUUACUCUUAAGUAUCUCACAAUCAUCUUAUCCAAGAAUUGUCGUAGGUAGUGACCAAAACCUUACUUUGGGCUGGCUUUACUGCUUUCAGAUUUUUAGCUCCCAUAUCAUUAACUGACAACACUAAUUUUGAUGAAUUACAAGGAAGCCAUUUGGACUUCAUGCUCUCGCUCUCAAAGAGGCAAAGGUCCCAAUUCUCAAAUUCCAAAUAGUUAGGCACACCAGAAAACCCAAUUAUGUUUGCAUUGCCUCAUGGAUGUCAGGCGAACCCAAAUUCUAAAUAACUGCAAAUGAAUUUGAUUUGGGUAUGAGUUAAUUCAACAAUGAAUCAAUACAAUACAGUAGUAAAAUAUUUCAUUUAUGAAUGAAACUACAGGAUUUUCAUAACGUUUAAAAAUAAUAGUAUGAUAGGAUCCAACCAACAUAAACAAGUGGCUAACCUGUUAUGAAUCUCUCACAAAAACGUGGAGCUCUUAUAAGUAUUUCAAGAUGUUUUCUCCAUCAGUUUAUUGGCGGCAGAAUGCUUGACUUGGCUCUGCCAUACACCCGUCCAUGACCUUUUCCUACAGUAUGAAUGGACUUCUCCAAAUGGAACAUGAUGUCCGGCUCACACUACAUAUUAAGUAAUUAAACAAGAAACUGUAUCAACUUUCUUGGAAUUGCAAAACAAUGGGGACCCAAAUAAAAAAAAAAUCAACAAGCUCUGUAUUUUUCAAGAUGAGUCUGAAAUUUAUUCAUCUGUAUCAUGAGAGAUCUUACCAAAAUUCCAAAUCCACAGUCCGCGGUUUCAAAUAACAAGUACAUGAAUUCCAAAAUUGCAAGCUCAUUGUGGAACAAGAAAGAAAUAAUGUUAAUCAACCAUUUACUAUUAACCACUGUUGAUAAUCACCACCAAAAAGCAUACCAAAGUAAAAAUGAUAUCAUCACAGCACACACACAGAAGAAACAUUUAUGCAGCAUGUUUCUGUACAAAUACAAAAUUAAGCGAGACCCAGAAAAUAAAGAUCAAAUCGUUAGAAACCCCAUCAAGCAAAAUCAUCAAAAACCACUCAUUGUCAAUGUCAGCCUUACAUGUCACACCACAACAAGAUUUUGAUACUUGACGGUCGCAGCAUUGGCAAGAAUAUCGCAUCUUUGAACCCUAAUUGCAAUCUUGAAACUUCCAACGAUUGGCGUAGACUAAGAUCUCUGAGGCGCAUGUUAGCAACAAGGAAGCACAUUCACUACUGAGAUUGUGUGCCCGUCAUAAAGUCACAGAGCAACCCCAGAAGCAUAUAAUUUUAUCUUGAUUUAGAUUUCAAGCAUCAGAAAAUGAAAGUCACUUCGCUUAUAAUUUUAUCUAGCGAAUUUCUUUUUUCUAAUUUUAAAAUAAAUUAUUGAUAAAACAGGUUUACUAAUUAAUACUUUCAAAUAAAAUAAAAAAUAACGAUUAUAAUCUCAAUUACUUUCACCGCACGUGCGCCUUAAAAAACCACCUGGAAAUUCAAAAUCCAACUACAACGGCAGGCAAACAUCACUCCGGUUAAUCAAGUUGAGGAUGCCACGACGCUAUUUUUCGCUGCCAUAUUUGUCAAUAGCGGUUAGUUGUUGGCUCUUAAAUUUUACACACCAAACUUCAAUAGUGUUGAAAAAUCAAAGAGUUUUGGUUGAAAAAACAAAGUGAGCCACAUGCAUUGCUUUUGUUUUUCAAAGUCAGCACCAAAUUCCAAGCUGUAAAAUAUUUGGCAUUUGACAAUCCUGCACCAAAUGAAGAAAAAUGGAAAAGUUAGCAAAAUUUAUCAAAUUGACAAAUUGCAGAGGAGUUAGGUGGAAUAGUGCAAGCUUGAAGCUUAUAAAUUGAAGUCAUUUCCUCAUUCUAAAUUAUCCUAAAAUUGUUAAGUUUAUAAGUUUCUAAGCUUUUGAGAGAAGUGAGAGAAGUAUGUCUGUAGAAUUUAUCUUUCCUGCAGAGUAUGAGAGUACUGAGUAUAUUUGGGUUUCUGGGAAGUGAGAUUCGUUACUCAAAUAUUAUACUCUAUUAAUUAUUAAAUAAACAAUUAUUCUUUCUUGCCUCCGUGGAUGUAGGUUUAAUUACCGAACCACGUAAUUCUUGUGUCCUUUAUUUUUCUAUAAUUAUUUGGUGCGCUUGAUUCCGCAUUCCGCGCAUAACAAAUAGUUAAUUUUUCCAGAUAAACUUAAUUAUGACGUAACAUAAUAUUCAGUUUCCUAAAUACUAAAUUCAAAUUAGAGACAUCGCUAACGGCUAUAUAAUUCCUACGCGCCCAUCAGAUAGCUAUAUAAGUGCCCCCAACAUAACAGACACCGCCUUAUCGCAACACUACUUGAUUAACAAGCAACUGGGAGAUUUUUCAAAUCCUAAGUUUUUUUUUUAGUUUCCAAAUUCUUCUUCAUUCAUCAACCAAAUCCUACCCACCAAAAAUCUUCUCAAACCCAUCUGAUUCAAUCUUUAGCAGGGUUAUUCAUAGGAAUCAACCGUUUAUUCGCCGACGCAGUAUCAAUCACCAUUGGUUGUUCUUACCAUUUUUCCACGGCAAGGUUACAUGGAUGUUGAUUGUACGACUUUCUUUAUCCAUGCUUUGCAUUGCCGUGUGUUUGGGAUUCCCUGGUGACUUUUGUUGGCUUUAAUCCCGUGUGUUUGGGAUUCGCUGGUGACUUUUGUUGGCUUUAAUCAUCUCUCAAAUUGUCAUAUCCUAACCCAUAAGCAACGCUCAGAUUGAAGACUUUUCUUGGCUUCAAUAGUUGAUGCAGAUUAUACAAAGUAUAAAUUGGCAUGGAGUCCAGGAUUUUCGAUAUAACAACAUAUCCUCAAAGCUAAUGAUAAUUAUAAUGUCAUCCAAAUUGUUCCUUCUAUUUGAAAAUAUAGCUUUGUUUUCUGUGAUAUUUUUCCAAUUGAAGCCCACAAUUGCUGAUUCUAACAACAUAAUAAUAAGGUGCAUUGAUGAGGAGAGAGAAGCGCUUCUCACUUUUAAACAGAGCUUGGUGGAUGAACAUGGCGUUCUGUCUUCCUGGGGAAGAGAAGAUGACAAAAGAGAUUGUUGUAAAUGGAGAGGAGUCCAUUGUAGCAACACAACUGGCCAUGUCAAGGUGCUUAAUCUUCGAACAUCCGACGAGGAAAACGCUCAGAGGAAGGUCUUGAAAGGUGAAAUUAGUCCUGCUUUGCUUGAAUUGCAUGAUAUAAGACAUUUGGACCUUAGUAACAAUCACUUCAGUGCAAGCCCAGUUCCUGAGUUCAUUGGUUCCCUCAGCAAAUUGAGGUACCUCAAUCUCUCUUGUAGCAUACCUUUAGAACUCCCUCGAAAAUUCCGGAACCAUUCAGGAUUGGAAUAUCCCAACCUAGAAAACUCUAGUUUAUUUAGUGUGGGAAGCUUAGAGUGGCUUUCUCGUCUUUCUUCUUUAAGACACCUUGACCUGAGUUACAUUAAUCUCACUAAAUCUAGUGACUGGUUUCAAGUAGUUUCCAAGCUCCAUUCCUUAAAAUCAUUAGUCCUAUGCUCGUGUGCUCUUCCACCUGUCAAUCCAUCGUUUAUUUGGCACUUCAAUUUGAGUACGUCUAUUGAGACCCUUGAUCUUUCUGACAACAAUCUCCCUUCUUCUUCAGUAUACCCUUGGCUUUUCAAUCUUAGCAGGAAUAUUCUUUAUCUUAACCUUGGCUCUAAUUCAUUACGAGGUUCAAUUCCAGAGGCUUUUCAACACAUGGUUUCUCUUAAAAGUCUUGAUCUCUGUGAUAGCGAACUUGAAGGUGGGAUUCCAAAAUUCUUUGGAAACAUGUGUAGCUUACAAAAGUUAGGCUUGUCUGAAAACAAACUCAGUGGACAAUUCUCGCAGGUAAUUCAAAAUCUGUCAGGUGGAUGCGUGGUGAACUCACUAGAGUGGCUAUAUUUAGGUUAUAAUGAAUUCACGGGGCCUGUACCUCAUCUUGGAGGAUUUUCAUCCCUGGAAGCAUUGAAGCUUCAGUUUAAUCGUUUAAAUGGAACAAUAGACAAGAGCCUCAGCCAGUUGUCGAAGCUCGAGUCUCUGUCACUUCGUAGGAAUUCAUUCACAGGAGUUAUCUCUGAAACUUUUUUUUCCAAUAUGUCCAACUUGCAGAUGUUGGACUUGGAUGAGAACUCUUUGACUUUGAAAUUGAGCCAUGAUUGGGUUCCUCCUUUUCAACUGAAAUGGUUAAGUCUUGCCUCUUGCAAGAUGGGACCUCAUUUUCCAAAAUGGCUUCAAACGCAGAAUCAGCUUGUGCUUCUUGACAUCUCCAAUGUUGGAAUCUCAGACAGUAUUCCUGAUUGGUUCUGGGAUUUGUCCAGUAAACUCUCUUACUUCAAUCUCUCUAACAAUCAUAUUAAGGGCAACCUUCCCGAUUUGUCUUUAAGGUUUGAUGGUACUCGUAGUGGUGGUACUUGUAUAGACCUCAAUUCAAACCACUUUGAGGGCCCAAUUCCACCACUUCCUUCAAAUUCGUUGUUCUUAAAUCUCUCUAAAAAUAAGUUCUCAGGGUCAGUUACUUUCUUAUGUUCCAUCAGUGAAAACACAUGGAACUUUUAAGAUCUCUCGAGUAACUUAUUGUCUGGAGGGCUUCCCAAUUGUUGGUUGCACUUUGAUAGCCUAUUCGUUCUUAACUUAGCAAAUAACAGCUUCUCAGGAAAAAUACCGGACUUGAUGGGUUUCCUAAAUAACAUCCGAGCACUCAAUUUUCACAACAAUAGGUUAACUAGGGAAUUGCCUUCAUCUUUAAGGAAUUGCUCGCAACUGAGAGUUUUGGAUCUCAGGAAGAACGCAUUCUUUGGUGAGAUUCCAACGUGGAUAGGGGAAAGUCUACAAAAUUUGAUUGUUCUUAGCCUAAAAUCUAAUAACUUUCAUGGAAAUAUAGCUUAUCAGUUGUGCAAUCUGGGAUUUAUUCAAGUCUUGGAUCUUUCUUUUAACAUUAUAUCGGGAAAGAUACCAAAGUGUUUCAAUAAUUUUUCAGCCAUGACCUAUGAAAGAUGUUCCAAUCCUACCAUUGGGUUCGCCAAAUCCUUCUUAGUUCCCCCUGGAAUUGGAUAUUACUAUAAAUAUUUGGUCAAUUUACUGUUGACUUGGAAAGGAAGUGAAAAUGAGUACAAAAGUACUUUGGGACUUGUAAGGUGCCUUGACCUUUCGAGUAACAAAUUAGAUGGAGCAAUUCCUGAAGAGAUUAUGGAUCUUGUGGGGUUGAUUGCCUUAAACCUUUCAAGAAACAAUUUAACCGGACCAAUCACUCCGAAGAUUGGUGAGUUAACAUCAUUGGAUUUCCUGGAUUUGUCUAGAAAUCUGUUUUCUGGAAGUAUUCCAUCUAGCCUCUCUCAGUUAAGUGGUCUUGGCGUCUUGGACUUGUCGUACAACAAUUUGUCAGGAAAAAUCCCAUCAGGCACUCAGCUCUAGAGCUUCAAUGCUUCAGUGUACGCUGGAAAUCUUGAACUUUGUGGCCUUCCACUUGCAAAUAUGUGUCCGGAUGAAGAAUCAACUCCAAGUCCAGGCACAGACAAUGAUUCAGACACUUUAAAAGAUGAGGACGAUCAGUUUAUAACUCUCGGAUUUUACGUGAGCUCGAUUCUUGGUUUCUUUGUUGGAUUCUGGGGAGUCUGUGGAACUUUAGUGCUGAAUAGGUCAUGGCGGUAUGGUUACUUCAACUUCCUGAUUGGUAUGAAAGAUUGGGUCUAUGUGAUAGCAGCUGUGAAUAUUAUCAAACUGCAAAGAAAGUUUAGGAACUAAUUAAACGGUAAUACUCCUCAACAUUGGGUUUCAAUCAUUGUAAUCAGCUCACGUGCUUUUAAUUUCUUUAUCCUUGAAUUUUACUAUUUUCUCUUACAAGCUUUUGUUCCUGUAACUAAUUGUUCAUUUUCUUUUUUUUUCAUUCACCAUCUUUUUGGCAGAGCAUCUCUGGGAUGGUAUCUUGCCAUUAUUGGUCAUUUGAUAUUUGGAAUCAUUCAAAAAAAUUAACUCAUAUGACGCACAUUGUGUUGUUGAGUGUAUGCUUCAAGAAACUUAUAUGUGGUUCUCUUUAGACCAUCGUCGAUCUAUACGUUUAUAUACUUAGGUUAGAGUUCUGUUAUACUAUUAAUCCAUUAUAGCAAUAAAAGCAAUCAAAUUCUGAUCUGCUAUUGAUCAAAGUUAGCUCUUUUUUUGUUUUCAGUGGGUGAAUAAAUAAUAAAAGACAAAACGAAUCUUUCUAUUUAGAGUUGUUGACCAUAAAACUACUAAAUGGAUGAUAAAAUUAAUUAAUUAAUUAAUUAAACUAGAAUAAUCUUAUUGACAAAGUAGCUGGUAGGUUCGUACGAUUCCGGAUCAUUGGUACUAAAAUGUGAAGGAAGAGAUCGACUUUUACAAUAAUUUGGUUUUACUAUAUUCGAAUUGGUUAUUGAUUAAAUUUGAUUAAAUUUCUAUGAUGGUGACAUAUAAUGGUGAUGAUCAAAGACUUAAAUAUUAUUUUCAGAGAAGACUGUUGACUUGAAUGCAGACUCAGUAAUAUGAUUGAAUAUCACACAAGACUUUUCUAUCCUAAUUUUUAUGAAUUUUCCAAACGUAUCAUCACAUUCAAGAUCCAGCUGACUCUAUAAUGUAACUAACGUGUUACUAACGCACAUUAAUAUUACAUCGCAUUUUCACUGCCACGGCCAAUUUCAGCGUUUCUCAUCAUUACUCUCUAUUUUGGCAAGUAUGGUAGGUGUUUUUUUCCCCCCUUGUACAAGGCUAGCACCGUGCGUGACACUAUCGGCACACAACAGUGGUGAAUAAUAAAAAGUUAAGUGUGUGAACAAUAUUGCCAAAUUAUUUUUUUUUUUUUUGAGGAGAACUAUUGCUCAUGAUAUUUACAACCAUACAAAUUACUAAGACCAAUUUACAUCAACUCUGAUAUGACACCGCUCAGAUUUUUAACCCUCUCAAAUAUUCGAGGGACGCCUACUCCCCUCCUGGGAGAAAGACUGCCUUCACUCAAGCCCUUACUUGAUUAGAACAAGCGGUCGCAAAUUGUAUUCAUCAUUUGAGUGUCUAUCCCCAUGAACUGAAUUGAAAUACCCCCAUGAGUUGAAGAAUUUAAGCUCGUACCCUUGUCAAUUUAUGGUGCGUUUUCUUCAUGUAAUGGGUAUGUGGUGGAAUGAGAAUGAGCUGGGAAUGAGGCUGAAAUAAAAAUAAAGAAUGAGAAUAAGAUUUUAAUGUUUCCUUGACAAAAAUAAAUGGAAAUGAGAAUAUACUGGAAUGCCAUUGAUGUGUUUACUUGGCAAAAUAAAUGGAAAUGAGAAAUGUGAAUAAAAAUCAAUUUACCAAAAUACCCAAAUAUUAAAUAAUGUAAUUUUCAUAAACUAGAUACAUAUAUAAAUAUUAUUAUAAAAAUGAUAUUAAUUAAAAAAUAAAAUUAAUAAUAAUAAUAAUAAUAAUAAUAAUGAUAAUAUUAAUAAAAAUAAUAUUAAUUAAAAAAAUAAAAUUAAUAAUAAUAAUAAUAAUGAUAAUAUUAAUAAAAAUAAUAAUAGCAAUAAUUAAUAAUAACUAAAAUAAUAGAGUUAAUAAAAUUUAAUAAUAAUCAUAAUAAUAAUGACAUUUAAAAUAAUAAAAUUAAUAAAUUUUGAUUAUAAUAAUAAUAAUAAAUGUUGAUAAUGAUAAUAUUAAUAAAAUAAUAAUAACAAUAAUUAAUAAUAACUAAAAUAAUAAAGUUAAUAAAAUUUAAUAAUAAUAAUAAUAAUAAUAAUAAUAAUAAUAAUAAAAACUCGUGUAAGUGACUUCAUUCAAGCGUGUGAUUUGAACGAGCAUAAUUCGGAAAAUAUGAAAAAAAAUAGAGGGAUACAAAAGUCAGUUCAGGAAAUGAGAAUCCCCAUUUCCAACCCUCCACGUGAAUGAGAUUCUUAUUUCUUAUUCUCAAAUUGUGUGAGACCCACAUAUUUUAUUCUCAUUCCCAAAUUAUAUUUUGCCAAAUAAACAUAAGUUUCAUUAUCAUUCAUUCAUCCUCAUUCCCUAAACCCUCAAGUAAACCACCGUUAAUUGAAAUGCGCCAUGAGUUGGAAGUUGCCAUCCCUUAAAUUGAAUUCAUUAUUAAGUUGCCACUGUAAACUGACUUUUGUCUCCGAUUAUUUCGUCAGCCCACAAACAAUUGAUAAUUACAUAAGCAGCACGCAACAAUCACAAACCGGGCCUAAGAAUGAAGCUUGCUUUGUUUGAGAAAAAGAAAAUGCUAAUAGAAACAAGAUAAAUUUGGUACCAAUUUAUUCACUUAAUUUUUUUUUAAAAAUAAACCAACACCCAAUUUACUCUGUUUCUAUCAGCGCUAAUCAUCAUUUUGUUUGCUUACAAUUAUUGUCAUGGACUCCAGGAUUUUGGAUAUAACAAUAUAUCCUGAAUACCAAUGAUAAUUACAAUACAUUAUAAUGCAACUUAACAUAAUAACAUCACCCCAUUUUCAUAGAAGACCAUUGAUUUGAGUGAAGGCUCUGUUGUUGACUCAAGACUAUUAACUUAAUGAUUUCUUGUUCUUUCUUGAGCAUGCAUUACCACCCAUGUGCUUCAAUUUCAACCCUCUGAUUGUCUUGCCAACUGAUCAUCACAAAAGGGUCCUCUUCUGAAUUCAUAAGUUGCAGUAUUUUGAAUUACAAGUCUCCUGUCAUCAAGUCUCCAUUCAGAUAUUUGAUUGAACCCCAAGCUGAAUUCUUCAAACACGCUGCUCAUCUUAACUGUUAAACAAUAAACUUUCAUUGUAAUUAAUUACAAGUUACUAAUUAAGUAUUUCUAUCAAAAACUAUUUAAAAUAAUUGAGGAACUUAUCCUCCUCUGCAAUAUGCGCUCGCAGCCACACCAAUCACUCCUUAAAGUCGCAUAAGAAAAAAUAAUGUGUUAAUCCAUGACAGCAGCCUCAUCCAAUUUGAAUAUGGCAUCAUCAUAUCUUAAAUAGAUAAUAUUAUGAUCUUUAUACGACAGACUACAUGACAUUUUAACUCAAUAAAUUGCAAACAAAAGUAUGGAGACAAGUAUAUUUAUUAAGAAGACAAUUAAUAACCAUUUUAUUAAAGGGUUAAAAGGCAUGUAAGUACUUUAAGGCAUGUAUUUUCACAGAAACCAUCUUUCUUCUACCAUCUCUCAUCUUUUCACCUUUUCAUUAUUUUCCCAUUCUUCAAAAUUUCUCUCUUCUAUAUUUCUCAAAUUAUGGUGUAUAUAUGUCAAAGGCAUGUAUUUUCUGAUUUAAGGGGCUGCUGGAAUUAGGAAUAUAGCUUGUACUCUUAUAGGUUGUUGGAAAUUAUCAAAAGCCACAGAGCAGGCAGAAAGUCAAUGAAGCCAUUGGAUUGGAUUGCUAUUGCAUAUUAAGCUCCUGUUGCUGCAGCUACUGCUACUUUUUAAAAUCCACUCAAUUGGUCAAGAAAUUUUUUCAGAUGCUCCUAAAAAUAUUUAUAUAUAUAAUAUGUUUGACUUAAGAUUAUACUCCAAACUGAGAACCAAUACACAGUUAAACAAAAAAGGUUUUCUUUCAGCUUUAGUUUUAUAACUCCAUCCUUGACGCACUAGAUUAAAUCACUAACUUUCAUACAAACUACAAAAGAGAAGUGCAUGCAAUUGUAUCACAAAAUCCAUAAAGUGUGUCAACACGAAAACAUUUAGAGAAAUUGGAUUAUUAAUUUUCAACAGAGAGUAUUAGAAUUUUUGCAGCGUCAAGAUCAGAACCAAACUAGAUGACAGAUACAAUAAGGCAAGUGGUGAAGAAAUAGCACGAAGACACUCAGAAAAAGCAAAUUUAAAUUUGACGAGCUCCAGAUGCUUAACCUAAAAAUAACAAAGAUAUUGCAGGUUUAUAUAAUAGGAAAGAUGACACAGAAAAAGCAUGGAAAAGCUCACAGCUCCGUUGAAAACCGAAAAUCCAGCAUUGGCUUGCAGCCACGCUCAGUCUCGUCCUGAAAUCAGACCGAAUUCUGGGUAUGUGUAAAACAGGACAGCAGCCUCAUCCAAUUAUGUUCACCUAUAAACAAUAUGAAGUCAUACGACGUUUUUGUCUAUAAAUGAGAAAAAUAAAGUACUAUUGAUCUUUUGAGAAACAUAAUUCUUUUUUUUUUUUUUUUGGCUAAGAAACAAAUCUUUUGAGAAACAUAAUGAUAAUUCGAAAUGAAAAAUAGAUACGAACAAUUAAGUGGAAAAUUUAAUUUGUGAGUGCAUUUCAAUUCAGUUUAUGGGGGCAUAAGCUUAAAUGAUGGGUGUAAUUUUAAGAGUCUUUUCUCUUAAUCAACCAGCAUGAAUAAUAUUGCCAAAUUGUUAAUACUUAUAGUUUACCAAACAUGUGCCUAACUACAUUUUUGUCUAAUUGAUUAUUUAAAAGGAUGGAGCUAGUAUUAGGCAAGUGGGGGCAGUUGCUCUCGCUUGAUUAAAACAGCCGAUAAAUUGCAUUCAUUAUUUAAGUCUCUAUCCACGUGAAUCUAAAAAUUCUAUUAAAAAACUUCUAUUUUUUUAACGAUAAUUUAAAAAGACUACCAAGAAAUUUCUUUUCCAAAGGCAUAUUUACCUGAACGAAGACUUGUUGAGAAGGACAAGGUUUAGCUACUCCAAUGCAGAAUAUAAAACACAAGAGGCUAGACUUAACAAUAUAUCCUCAAUACCAAUGAUAAUUACAAAAUCAUUUUCAGAGACCUUGUUAACUUACAUUAUAAUGUAACUUAACACCACCUCAUUUUCUGAGAAGACUAUUGACUUGAAUGAAGAAUCUGUUGUUGACUCAAGACUAUAGACCUGAAUGAAUUCUCGAUCUUUCUUGUGCAUGAAUUACCGCCUCAAUAAUUCAAUUUCAACCCUCUGAUUGUUUUGCCUACUGACCAUCACAAAAGGGUCCUCUGAAUUGACAAGUUGCAGUAUUUUGAAUUACAAGUCUCCUGUCUUCACUUCCCCAUUCAGACAUUUGAUCGAACACCAAGCUAAAUUCUUCAAACACCCUGCUAAUCUUAACUCUUAAAAUGUUCUGAUUGAAUUUUAAAUGGCAGUAAAUUUUUCACUGUAGUUAAUUACAAGUUACUAAUUAAGUAUUUCCAUAUUAGUUAAUUGUAUGAAAAUAAUCGAUGAACUUAUCCUCCUCUGGAAUUAUGAAUCUAGAUUGUACUCUUAUAGGUAUCGGAAAUAAUCAAAAGCCACAGAGCAAGAAGAAAGUCAUUGAAGCCCUUGGAUUGGAUUGCUGCUAUUGCAUAUUAAGCUCCUGCUGCAGCAGCUAGUGCUAUUUUUUAAAUCUACUCAAUUGGUCAAGAAAGUUUUUCGGAUGCUUCUAAAAAUAUUUAUAUGUAUAAUAUCUUUGACUUAAGAUUGUACUCCAAGCUGAGAACCAAGACACAGUUAAACAAAAAAGUUUUCUUUCUGUGUUAGUAUUUAUAAAUUCAGACCUUGACACACUAGACUAAAUCUCUAACUUUCAUACAAACUACAAAAGAUAAGUCCAUGCAAUUGCGUCACACAAUCCAUAAGUAUGUCAUCACAAAAACCUGUAGAGAAAUUGGAUUAUUAAUUUUCAACAGAGAGCAUCUGAAUUUUUGCAGCUUUUACAGCAUCGAGAUUCAGGACAAAACUAGAUAACAAAUACGCAAUAGGCAAGUGGUGAAGAAAUAGAGCGAAGACACCAGGAAAAGGCAAGUUUAAGUUCGAUAAGCUCCAGAUGCUCAACUGCAAAAUAACAGAGAUAUUGCAGGUUUAUAUAAUAGGAAAGAUGACACAGAAGAAGCAUGGACAAACUCACAGCUCUUUUGAAAGCCAAAACUCCAGCAUUGGCUUGCAGCCACACUCAGUCUCGUCCUGAAAUCAGAGUCAAUUUUGAUGACAUGAAGCCUUAUAAACAUAGUUAGAGAACAUUAAACUUUGUUCAUAUUGAAAAAUGGUUAACUCUUCCAUUUCUUGUCCACAUAAACCUUAAAGGCAGACACAAGGUCGCUUCUAGAACCUUUGACAGCAGCCACUAUACUAAAGAUGAUUCAAAACAAAAAUAUCAUAUUCACAAAAAUAAGAUAUACAGGAACAAGGAACUCUUACGUUCUAUUGAUCAAACACCAUCUAUUCCACCUGAUUACAUUCUCAAGAGGAAUUGAAAAAAUGUUUUGGAUAGGAAAGUUUGUUGGAUGCAUGCAAGUUUAUUUGCCACAGAGCUUCCAUUAUGGAGCAGUCUUCUUUCAAUAUCUCAGGCCAUGCAAAAGGGACAUAGCAUGUUAAUUCAAGUUGGACAAAAAGCAUGUGGUUCUUACAAAUGUGAUAUGUGAAUAAUGUGCGACUAAAACAAGUACAUCAAUGUAGUUCUGAGUCCUUUACAGUCAUAACCUGAAGUCUUUCGGGAUCAUCUCCGAUACUCUAUAUCUUAAGUUAACCAUUUUCUGUAUCAUUUUACAAUUAUACAACAAAGAUUAUCAGUCACUCCUUAUACCACCGAGGUAGAUACAAAUAAAGCAAUGAAAUAACUUUUACAACAACCUUCUCAGAUUCAAGUUUGUACCCACUAAUCCUUUAAAUUAUGGUCUUUCUUUUUCUUGAUUACUCUACUUAUCUCACAAUCAUCUUAUCCAAGAAUUGUCAUAGGUAGUGACCAAAACCUAACUUUGGGCUGGCUUUACUUCAGAUUUUUAGCUCCCAUAUCAUUAACUGACAACACUAAUUUUGAUGAAUCACAAGGAAGCCAUUUGGACUUCAUGCUCUCGCUCUCAAAGAGACAAAGGUCCCAAUUCUCAAAUUCCAAAUAGUUGGGCACACCAGAAAACCCAAUUAUGUUUGCAUUGCCUCAUAGAUGUCAGGUGAACCCAAAUUCUAAAUAACUACAAAUGAAAUUUGAUCUGGUUCUGAGUUAAUUCAACAAUGAAUCAAUACAAUACAGUAGUAAAAUAUUUCAUUUAUGAAUGAAACUACAGGAUUUUCAUGACGUUUAAAAAUAAUAGUACGAUAGGAUCCAACCAACAUAAACAAGCGGCUAACCUGUUAUGAAUCUCUCACAAAAACGUGGAGCUCUUAUAAGUAUUUCAAGAUGUUUUCUCCAUCAGUUUAUUGGCGGCAGAAUGUUUGACUUGGCUGCCAUACACCUGUCCAUGACCUUUCCCUGCAGUAUGAAAUGGACUUCUCCAAAUGGAACAUGAUGUCCAGCUCACACUACAUAUUAAGUAAUUAAACAAGAAACUAUAUCAACUUUCUUGGAAUUGCAAAACAAUCGGGACCCAAAUUUUAAAAAAAAAUCAACAAGCUCUGUAUUUUCAAGAUGAGUCUGAAAUUUAUUGAUCUAUAUCACGAGAGAUCUUACCACAAUUCCAAAUCCACAGUCCGCGGCUUCAAAUAACAAGUACAUGAACUCCAAAUUAGCAAGCUCAUUGUGCAACAAGAAAGAAGUAAUGUUAACCAAUCAUUUACUAUUAAACACUGUUGAUAAUCACCCCCAAAAUCCCAGGGAACAAUUCAUACCCAAAAAGCAUAACAAAGUAAAAAUGAUAUCAUCACAACACAUACACACAGAUGAAACAUUUAUGCAGCAUGUUUCUGUACAAAUACAAAAUUAAGCGAGACCCAGAAAAUAAAGAUCAAAUCUUCAGAAACCCCAUCAAGCAAAAUCAUCAAAAAGCACUCAUUGUCAAUGUCAGCCUUACAUGUCACACCACAACACGAUUUUGAUACUUGACGGUCGCCACGUUGACAAGAAUAUCGCAUCUUUGAACCCUAAUUGCAAUAUUGAAACUUCCAACGGUUGGCAUAGACUAAGAUCUCUGAAACUUCCAACGGUUAGGGAACAAUUUUUUUUUUUUUUUUUUUUAUAAUGAUUGAUCCUGCAAACGGAAUAAACUUCAAUAAAAAUAAUAGAGAUGUCGCCAAACAAUAUUUAGAGCGACAUAGUAAACAAAGCAUAAAGAGUGACAUAGUAAACAGAAGCAUAAAGCUAAAACACACAACAUAACUACAAAAAAUUAAAAUAAAUAAGCUGCAUCUGUAGAGAAUUUGUAGCUUGGAAAUUCAUUAAUGUUUCAUUACUCGAUAGAAGAAGUAAAGCCAAACUAGUCAUCGAAAAAUUUUGGAAGCUCCUGGAACAUUACUCCUUUUCCAUUUAUUGCUUGUCAUGUGUAUGAUUCAACGAAUCAUGAUAACAUAUAUGCAUACAUGGCAAGCAUUAAAUUAUUAAAGAGCAAUACUCCAGAAGCACCAAAAACCCAUCAUGUUAUGAGCGCCAUUUGACUACGGAAAGGUACAUAGUAAUAAAUAAUAAAAGACUAAAAUAUCAUUUUCAGAGAAGACUAUUGACUUGAAUGAAGACUCUGUAAUAUCAUCACAACACAUACACACAGAUGAAACAUUUAUGCAGCAUGUUUCUGUACAAAUACAAAAUUAAACGAUACCCAGAAAAUAAAGAUCAAAUCUUCAGAAACCCCAUCAAGCAAAAUCAUCAAAAAGCACUCAUUGUCAAUGUUAGCCUUACAUGUCACACCACAACAAGAUUUUGAUACUUGAGGGUCGCCGCGUUGGCAAGAAUAUCGCAUCUUUGAACCCUAAUUGCAAUAUUGAAACUUCCAACGGUUGGCGUAGACUAAGAUCUCUGAGGCGCAGGUUAGCAACAAGGAAGCACAUUCACUACGGAGAUUGUGUGCCCGUCAUGAAAGUCACAGAGCUAUCUUGAUUUAGAUUUCAACCAUCAGAAAAUGAAAGUCACUUCGCUUAUAAUUUUAUCUAGCGAAUUUCUUUUUUCUAAUUUUAAAAUAAAUUAUUGAUAAAACAGAUUUACUAAUUAAUACUUUCAAACAAAAGAAAUAACGAUAAUAAUCUCAAUUACUUUCACCGCACCUGCGCGUUAAAACAACACCCGGAAAUUCAAAAUCCAACAACAAUGGCAAGCAAACAUCACUCCGGUUAAUCAAGCUGUGGAUGCACCACGCCGUUUUUUUGCCUUGUUUGCCAAUAUCGGUUAGUCACUAGUGCUUAAAUUUUAUGCCCCAAACUCCAACUACUCAUUUUCCCGAAUAAAUUUAAUUAUGACGUAAUAAAAUAUCUAAUUUCCUAAAUAUUAAAUUGAAAUUAGAGACAUCGUAUAUAAUUCAUGCACACAUAUCAGACGGCUAUAUAAGUGCCCCCAACAGAACAUACACCGCCUUAUCCCAACACUACUUGAUUAGCAAGCGACUGAGAAAGUUUCCAAAUCCUAUAUUUUUCAGUUUUCAAAUUCUUCUCCCAUUCAUCAACCAAAACCUACCCACCAAAAAUCUUCUUAAACCCAUCUGAUUCAAUCUCGAUUUCUGAUUUCAUCGAUCGCUUUUUGAUUCUCAGAACACCAACACAAUGUCUCCUCACGUUGGAUUAAGAUUUUAUCUAACAGAACAAGAAUUGCUGGAGUUCUAUCUCCUUCACAAAAUUACCCAAAACCCUAAUCUCUACCAAGCCGGUGAUGAUAUUCCAAUGAAAGAUUGUGAUCUCUAUGGUCCUCAUGAUCCAAACUUGAUUUGAGAUUUGUACGGAAGAGACCAAUUAAUGGGGGGUCAAGCACUCUACUUCUUCACCCAGUUAAAGAAGGUGUCUGCUAAGGGUUUGAGGUUCGAUAGAAAGAUUGGCUUCGGUGCUUGCCAGGGUGAGGACAGAGCCAAGCUUAUUCUCGCUGUUAGCUCUAAAGAUCAAAUUCUAGGGUCCACGAAGAGGUUUAGGUAUGAAAGUCGUAAAAACUUGGAACAAAAUGGGAGGUGGAUUAUGCAUGAAUUCACCAUUAAUUCAGCCUUGUUGGGUGAUCAAUACUCGCAUAAAGCGCACGAUUUUGUUCUCUGCAGCGUCAAAAAGAACGAAUCGAAAAAGUGCUCGGAGAAAGCCAAUUUGGGCAGAAAGAGAUCUUCUGGUUCCAAGAGAAAGUUGAAGGAAGUAGUGACCUCCGGCAGCCACACUGAUCACGAUAAUGAGUGCUUUCAGAGCAAACGCUUAAAGGCUCAUCAAAAUUCGAUAUUGAUAGAACAAAACCACUCACCGUGUUCGAGUAGCAGUCUGAACCCAGUGGAGCACCAAGGGGAGAUCAUACAUUUGGUGCCUCAAUAUUCGACUCUCUUUGACGUUGAAGGAUAUAGGGGUAGUCUUAUCCAAAUCCUAGAAGAGGAUAAGCAUGAUGAGGGUAGUCAAACUGGUCAACAGAGGGCUGAAGCAGAGGCAGUUUGUGUUCAACAGAACCAAGCAAAUGACAUCCCAUGCUCCAGUAACAACAAUGUGCAGACUGAGGCAGUCCUGAACAAGCGACAAGAGGCUAUUGAAGAAGAGGCACUUUUGGCUCAACAAAAUAAUCCAAUUGAGUUGUCGUGCCUUGAUAACAUCUGGGACAUUGUGGAAUCCGAAGUGGAGAUUGAUUCUUUACCUGACAGACUUGUUUUUGAUGUGGACGAGCUUUUGUCUGAACUCGAUGGGGUUGCUGCCUGUAGAGUUUCUAUCGAGGGUCAAUCAAGUGCUUAAUCGAGUAAUGUAAUUGCAAGUAAUGCACUAGAGAGGAGUGGGAAAUUCUAAUCUCACUCUUGCUCUCUCUGCUUUGUCAUCUGAUUUUGUGAAAGCAAUACUUGGAUAGAGUUACUGCGGUUGAGAAACAAGUCGUCGUUCGUGGCUGCACCUGUCAAGUUACACGAUCUGCUUUUCUACGUUAUGCAAACAGUUUGUUUCUUUUUCAAUUGUAAUAUAAUCAUGUCAUAUUUCAUUUUUGAAAUGAAGUUAUGGCUCUAAUUAUAAGAUUUGUUUAAAAAAUUGAUAUUCCAUGAGUUUUAUGCUUCGCACAUAUAUCUAAAUUGAUUAGUUUCAAAAGCAGGGGCAGAUGAAUGAAUCAUUGUGAUUAUAAUAAGAUUUUGAUGAAAGUUGAGGUUUUUUUAUUGGAAGAAUCGGAAGUGGGGAUUUACUUUUUAACUACAUGAAAAUCUUGUUCCGGUUCAAGAAAAGGUUUAGGUAUGAAAGUAGUAAAAAUCUGGAACAGAAUAGGAGGUGGAUUAUGCAUGAAUUCACCAUUAAUCCAGCCUUGUUGGGUGAUCAAUGCUCGCAUAAAGCACUCGAUUUUGUUCUCUGUCGCAUGAAAAAGAACGAAUCGGAAAACAACUCAGAGAAAACUUUCGUUUCCUAUGAUUCCAUAUUUGGGCUGCAUGUGUCCCUCACUUUUGACGCAACAGAGAACAAACUUGAGUGCUUUAUGCAAGUAUUAAUCACCCAACAAGGCUGGAUUAAUGCUAAAUUCAUGCAUAAUCCACCUCCUAUUCUGUUCCAGAUUUUUACGACUUUCAUACCUAAACCUUUUCUUGAACCCUAGAAUUUGAUCAUCAGAGCCAACAGCGAGUGUCCCUCACUUUUGCAAUGGUUUUGCUUUUUAUUAGUCUUUCAGCAAAGCUUAAGCACUUCUUGUUAAAUCUAACCUCUUUCAGUUACAUAUGGCCAAAAAAUAUGGAAGGCAACUUGUGAUGAGUAACUUUAGUUCAUAUUUUCUAAUUAAUGGCUAUAUUCCUCUUUAUUUUGGUAGCUUCUUGGGAAGCAUAUCCUGAAGAAUCUUUCUUAUUUCAUUUUUAACAUUUUUAGGUACCAUCUUGAAGAAUUUUUUUCUCUCUUUUUUUCUUUUCAGUUUUAAAAUUGUUAUCCUUAAAAUCUCCAGUGGGAAAAGAAAGGAUAAACAUAUCGAGUUUUAUCUUAGUUUUGGUGCAGUGGUUUUGGAAGCUCUAAAAAGGAGGAAAGAUUCUUGAUGCAGCUAAUAAAUGAUUGAAUAUGAACUUUUACCAAACAAGAAACGGAAUACUCAUUGAUUGUUGGAUUGUGGUGUGCACUCCCAAAUCAUAACCGGAACAAGAUUUUCAUGUACUUAAAAAGUAAAUCCCCACUUCUGAUUCUUCCAACAAGAAACUUUGUUGUUUACUUUCCUUUCACAAACUAUGAACUAAAUUUACUUGUAAUUGAGUGAUAAACAAUCUUAAUAGGUUCUUGAUUGAAUUUAUAUGUUGUGUAUCUGCUAUAGCAUUUUGUUUUGGUAAAGCUUAUUUUAUUCAUUAUUUCGGCUGACCACCAAUUUAAUGAUACAAGCUAGGAAAGAGCCAGAAAAUGGCAUGUCUUAGUGGAACAUAUCAGAACAAUACUUGGUUUUAGAUUGGGUUUCUUAGAUUGAGUUUAACUUGAUUCCAAAAGGGCCAUGCUUAAUCUAAAAUUUAUGAUGAACUAGAUAUAAUGAUUCAUCUUUUAGGGUAAAUAGAACCUAAACGUGUAAUAUUGUAUCUUAUGUUGGCAUAACAAUUGGUCACUGUUAGGUUGCAUAUAGAUAUAAGACAUCUCACAUGCGACAGCUGAGGAUAUAUGAGGAUUCUACCUAGUGCUGUAGCAGAUGCUACAACAACUAAACCAAAAUUUGCAAGAAUUAGUCAAGUCCAUUAAGAGAGUUUAGUCACUCAUCUACUUUAUUCCUAUUGAUUUUAUCCUUGUGUUUUUGACGUGAAAGUUUGCUUUUUUGCAUAUUUACUUAUUCCAUUUUAUUAGAUAGUUUAUUAGUUUAAUUGUUCAAUCCACUUUCUAUUCAAGCAAAACUGUUAAGGUUGUUAUAACAAUUUCUACAACAUCAAUCCAUGUGGAGACGAUUUUAAAUACUUUUUAUUAUAUCACUUGUUGUGUACACUUGCACAUUGACACCCCAUAGCAUUUGAAUUUAAACUCAACAGAACGUCUAUUGAGACCCUUGAUCUCUCUGACAACCAUCUCUUUUCUUCUUCAGUAUACCCUUAGGAAUAUUCUCUCUGACAACCAUCUCUUUUCUUCUUCAGUAUACCCUUAGGAAUAUUCUUCAUAUUAACCUAGGCUAUAGCCAUUUGCAAGGUUCAAUUCUAGAGGCUUUUCAAAACAUGGUUUCUCUUAGAUUUCUAUCUCUCUCUUCUAAUUAACUUGAUGGUUGGAUUCCAAAAUUCUUCAGAAACAUGUGUAGUUUAAAUAUAUUAUACUUGCACCACAACUAUCUUAAUGGACAGUUCUCGGAGCUAAUUCAAAAUAUGUCCGAAGGAUGUACAACAAAUUCACUUGAGGAGUUACAUUUACAAUACAAUGGCAUCUCAGGGCCAAUACAUGAUCUUGGAGCAUUUUCAUCUCUAAAAGUAUUGUAUGGUGGAGAAAAUCGUUUAAAUGGAACUAUAAACAAAAGCCUCACUCACUUGUUCAAGCUUGAGACUUUUUCACUUGAUGGGAAUUCAUUCACAGGUGUUAUCUCUAAAACUUUCUUUUCCAAUAUGUCCAACUUGCAGGAAUUGUUCUAAGCUGACAACUCAUUGGUUUUGAAAUUGAGCCAUGAUUGGGUUUCUCCCUUUCAACUGAAAUGUUUAAGUGUCGCCUCUUGUAAGAUGGGACCUCAUUUUCUAAAACGGCUUCAAACUCAGAAUCAACUUACUUCACUUGAUAUCUCUAAUACUGGCAUCUCGGAUACUGUCCCUGAUUGUUUUUUAGAUCUAUUUAUUGAACUCUUUCUUCUAAGUCUCUCUAACAACCAUAUCAAAGGUAAGCUUCCUGAUUUUUAUUUUUUAAAAUCUAAUGAUAUUGUUAUAGAUAUCAGUUCAAAUCACUUUGAGGGACCAAUUUCACUACUUCCUUCAAAUUCUACAUUCUUGAAUCUCUCCAAAAAUAAGUUCUUAGGGUCAAUUAUGUUCUUGUAUUCUCUGAUUGAAAAUACAUGGAAUGUUUUUAUCUCUCAAGUAACUUUUUAUUUGGAGAGCUUCCCAACUGUUGUUCGCAUUUUGAUAAUCUAUUUCUUCUUAAUUUGGCAAAUAAUAGCUUCUCCAGUAAAAUUCCAAACUCGAUGGGCUUCCUACAUAAUAUUCGAACACUGAGUUUACACAAUAAUUGGUUAACCGGAGAAUUGCCUUCAUUUUAAAGAAUGGCUCAUAACUGAGAGUUUUGGAUCUUGGAAAGAAUGUAUUGUUCGGUGAGAUACCAAAAUGGAUAGGCGGAAGUCUUCAAAUUUGAUUAUCUUAAGCUUGAAAUCUAACAAUUUUCAUGGAAAUAUACCUUUUCAGUUAUGCCAUCUGGCAAUCAUUUAGAUCUUGGAUCUCUCUUUUAACAAUAUAUCCGGAAACAUACCAAAGUGUUUCAGUAAUUUUUCAGCCAUGAGCCACGAAAACAAAUUCCAAUCCCAUCAUUGGGUUGGCCUACAAUAUCUGGGUUCUCCUUCGAUAUGUAUAUCAGUAAAGAUAUUUGGACAAUGUUAUGUUGACAUAGAAAGAAUGUGAACAUGAGUGCAAAAAUACUUUGGGAUUUGUACCUUGACCUUUCAAGAAACAAAUUAUGUGGAGUAAUUCUUGAAGAGAUUAUGGACCUUGCGGGGAUGACUGCCUUAAACCUUUCAAGAAACAAUUUAACUGUACCAAGCACUCCAAAGAUUGGUCAGUUAAAAUCAUUGGAUUUCCUGGAUUUAUAUAGAAACCACUUUUCUGGAAGCAUUCCGUCUACCCUUCCUUAGUUAAGUGGUCUUAGUGCCUUGGACUUGUCAUACAACAACUUGUCAGGAAAAAUCCCAUUAAGUACUCAGCUCCAAAACUUUAAUGCUUCAUUUGAUACUGGAAAUCUUGAACUCUGUGGCCUUCCACUUCCAAAUAAGUGUGCAGAUGAAGAAUCAACUCCAAGUCCAAGCAGGGAUGAUGAUGCAAACACUCCAGAAGAUGAGGAUGAUCAAUUUAUAACUCUCGGAUUUUACGUGAGUUUGAGUCGUGGUUCUUAGUUGGAUUCUGGGGAGUCUGCGGAACUUCAAUGCUGAAUAGGUCGUGGAGAUAUGGUUACUACAACAUCAUGACUAGUACCAAAGAUAGGCUCUAUGUGACGGCAGUUGUGAAUAUUGCCAAACCACAAACAAAGUUCAGGAACUAAUUAAACGAUAUUACUCCUUAAGUGUCAACUCUCAAGUGUGUUUUAGUCAAUAUUAUUGGCUCUCAGCCUCUCACAUAUGAUUUUAAUUUCUUAAUCCUUAAACUUGACCCUUUCCUCUUGCAAGCUUUUGUUUCUCAAAUUAAUUCUUACCAUUUUUUUUGUCAGGGUCUUACUGGGAUGGCUCGCAUUAUGUCUUUAUUAUUUAGAGUGCUCAUUUUGUAUUUGGAAUCUUUCAAAAAAUAAACUUGUGCUCUCAUGUGAUGCACAUUGUAUUGUUAAGUGUAUGCUUAAAAAAACUUGCAUGUGGCUCUCUUUAGACCAUUGUCGAUCUAUGCAAUUAUGCACUCUUGUUAAGAGUUUAAAUAUACCAAUAAUCCAUUACAACAAUAAAGACAGUCAAAUUCUGUUCUGUUAUUGAUCAAUGUUAGCUUUUUUUUUCUUUUCAUUGGGUGAAUAAAUUUAACUUUUAUUUGGCAAAUAAAAAAUAUCUCAGAUUUUUGCAUGUAUUACACCUCUCAAUUAGUAUUAACUGAAUAUUUAGAUUAGGGAAAUUAUCAUUUAGAUUAGGGAAAUUAUCUCUACACCACCUUUAUUUUUUUCAUAUGUAUAUCUAACUACUACAAAAUUUUGACGUAUUCUUUACACAAUUUAUGUUUCUAAACUUGCAUUAAUCAACCAUUUUGAGCUAAAAAUAACUAUUUUAACACUAAAUAAAUUAAAAAACUAUUUUAUUCUACAAAAUUUUUAAAAAAUUAUAAUUACAAAAAUACCCCUAAAUUCAAUAAAACAAAUAAUCUCAAAAUUCAAGAUUAUAAUUUCAAGUGAAAUUAUAAUUAUAAAAAUUAAUAUCUUGUAAUUAUAGUUUCAUUUAAUUUUUGUAAUUAAAUUAGGUAUAAGAAAGUUUACAAAAAUUGACAUGACGAGAAAAGUUUCCUAUAAUUAUUAUAAAAUUCCCUAUAAUUAGUAUUAAGAAACUUCCCUAUACAAAUUAAAUCAAAAUAUAAUUAAAAAAUUAUCAUGAUAACUUUUAAAUGAAAUUGUAAUUAUAAAAAAUUAAUAUAUUGAAUUUAGAUUUAUUUUAUUAAAUUUAGGGGUAAUCUUGUACUUAUAUUUUUUUUAUUUUUCAAAAUUUUGUGGAAUAAAAUAGCCUUUUUAAUACAUUUAGGGGUAAAUAUAGUUAUUUUUUAGUGUCAGAGUGGUUUAUUGAUAUAAACUUUAAAAAAAUGAGGUGUAAAGAACAUGUCAAAAUUUUGAUAUGGUUAGAUGUAUAUAUGCAAAAUAAAGGCAGUGCAGAGAUAAUUUUCUUUGGAUUAACUCUCUUUUUUUAAUGAUUUAUACCGCAAAUGAAAAAAACUUUGAUAAAAUAAUAGAGAUCUCAUUAAAAAAUAUUCAUUACUCAAGGUGACAUAGUAAACAUAGGCAUAUUCUAAAAAACAAAAGGAGUAAAUAUUAGUAUAAAGCUAAAACACACAACACAACUACAAAAAGAUUAAAAUAACUAGGUUGCAACGGUAGAGAAUUUGUAGCUUGGAGUUCCAUUAAUGUCUCACUACUCGAGAGAUGAAAAGUAAACCUAAACUAGUCAUCGGAAAAGUCUUAGGUGCUCCUGAAGCAUAACUCUUUUUGAGAGCCCGGCAUGGUGCCGGCUACAAUGACAACGGCAUUGUAGCCAAACCCUUAUCUUUAACGUCAAUACUUCUUUUCAAUUGAUUGGAUUGCCAGUCAAUAACACGAUCGCGUAAAUUGCGGUCCGUGACUUCCAAGAUUAAGAAAAAAUUGAUGUUUUUUUGGAUGGAAAAAUAGCUUUAUUUAAGAGUUGGUUAAGCCACGUUAUCUUCUUUCAAGAAAUUAUUUUCUAUUCACAUCAUAUAUACUUGACUUUUUGACCUAACCGACAUCCACUAGAAUUUAUUAUUAUUAUUAUUAUUAUUAUUACUGCUACUAUUAUUUUUUAUGUAAGUAACAAAAGAAGAGAAAAUUUUGUUAUGACAGAAAUUGAGAGUUUUUAUUAUUAAGAUAAUAUUAACUAGUAUGGUUAAUUUGAUCAAAUCCAAAAUUAAUUAUUGUUUAGGAAAAAGUUUUUAAGUGUUGUAGCUCUUUGUACGUAAUUCCUUAACGUUGAUACGAGCUUAGUAAUUUUUAACUAUUAAGAUAAAAUUUUGACAUACGAGAGUCGUUACUCAUUAGUCUGAAAAAAAAAUGAAUAAAUAAAAUAAAAGAAGUGGGAGAAGAAAAUUUAACCACAAAAAAAUAAGAGAAAUGAGAGGUGGUUAUUUCUAGACGGAGCUUGAUUCAAAGUCACAAAAUAAAAUAACAUAAAUGACACAACCACAAAUACUUGUACAAAUUGAGUUAGCAAGUUAUAUGACAUAAUUAGAUUGAUUGGAUAAAAUACCAUAUGUGUUAAUUAUUUUCCUAAGUAGAAUCUUGGAGAAAAGGAAAAGUAAAAACCCUUCUUCUUAGUUACUAGCUAAUAAUAUUAUGUUUACUUAUUGGGAUAUUCAUUUAUGUCGCAUCUCAUUUCUAUUGAUUAAUUAAGUUCUUAAAUUCAUAGGUUAAAAAUUAACAAUAAAAUCUAUUAAUAAUCAGUAAAUAGCAAAAAUGAAAAGAAAGGAAGAGAAAAAAAAAGCAUCAAGGACUUACAAAGUCAAUUAAAAGUUGAAAGCUGAGAGUGAAAACUCUUAGUUAUGUUAUAAAUAGCAUAGAGCCCUCCCAUAUUCGUUGCAGAGAAAGAGAGAGCGUGCAUGUGUAUUUGAUUAUAAAGAGAACAAGCGGCUCAAAAAUGGUGAUGAUGUCAGUUUGCUUCUUGUUAACAAUAAUAUUAGAAGGGUGUUGGAGUACGGAGGGAUGUUAGGGGCAUGAGAGAUCUGCUCUCUUAUUACUUAAACAUAAUUUCUUUGAUGAUCCUUUCAAUCUUGAAAACUAGAUGGAUAAUGAGAAUCAUUUAGAUUGUUGCAAGUGGGAAGGAGUUGAGUGCAACAUCUCCUCAGGCAGAGUGAAAGCACCAUAUCUUAGUAAUGGAAUAUCAUUUUGGUAUCCGACAAUGCAGCAUCUGAAUGCUUCCUUGCUUACCCUUUUUGAACAACUUGAGUCUCCUAACUUAGAAAACAACAACAUAGUCAGUUUUGUUGAGAAUGGAGGUACUUAAUAAGUUUUAUCAGUUCCAAAAUUUUGAAAAUUUUUUAAAAAGUUUAAUUUUGAAAUAAUUAACACAAGUCUAUAUGAUAUGUUUUACGAGGUCUGGAGAGGUUAUCAGGGUUAAGCAACUUGAAGUUUCUUAAUUUAGGCGGUAACCUAUUUAACAAUAGCAUCUUCUUAUCUCUAACUAGUCUUUCAUCACUAAGAACAUUGUUAUUGCGUUCUAAUAGAUUGAAAGGAAGUAUUGAUAUUAAGGGUAAUUAAGCUUCAUCUCUUUUAAGGUCUACUAGAAGCAAAAAUAAGCUUCAUUAAUUAGUCUGUCACUAGAAUCAGAUAUUUGUAAUGCCAUAUUGCUUCCUUCAUUAACUCUAUUUAAGUCUUGGCAUAUGCCAUAUACGUAAAACUGGAUUGCUUGAGCAAUUUAAAGGUGUUGGACAUGGGCCUGAAUCAAAUUGAAGAUUUUAGUGAUCGUCUAAAAGGUAAUUAAAUGAAUGUGAAGCUUGAAGUAGUUAUAUUUUGUUAAAAGUGAAUGAGGUGGCGUGUUGAGCUGGCAUCAGUGGGGACCAUCUGCUGUUAAAGUUGUUAUUAUGUAUAACAACUUAUUUCUUUUUUUUAGAUAUAUAUAAGAGGAAUUCGAGUUGGCAGAUAGGGAAACUUAGUGAUUGAUUUUGAGAGUCGCAAUGAGUGAGACAAAAAAAUCUUAGUAUGGAAGAUUUAAUCCCUAUAGUCUUAAGAAUCUUUUGUAACUCAUCUCUUUCUAAUAAAGUUUCAAAGCAAAGUUGAUUUCAACUGUGGAUGUAGGCAUCUCUCUUCCGAACCACGUUAUAUGACCUUGUUAUUUUUCUUUCUUUCUUUAGUUCUUGCUUGCUCUUGGUCCUGGUUUCAUUCAAUUUCUACUUUCUUGGUUUGGUUCUCUCUAGAAGAGGCUUUGUUUUUUUUUUAAUUAAAUUAUAACAAACUGGUAUCACAGCAUUAGUAGUUUGUUGUUCUUGGCUCUAUAAUGGCUACCACUAGAUUUGAUCUUGAAAAAUUCAAUGGGGAGAAUGAUUUCUACUUGCGGAGCCUUAAGAUGCAUGCAAUCCUCAUUCAACAUGGGCUUGAUAGUGCCGUUGAGUAAGAUGAUGAUCAAAAGGCUAAGAAAGAAAAGGAAGAAGGCUCAUCUAGUUUUACUGGAGAUAGGAAGACCAUCAACAACAAAGCAUAUAACACCAUUAUUUUGUAUCUUUUAGAUAAAGUGCUAAGAGAGGUGAUAAAAGAAAGAUCUGCAUCUGGAUUAUGGGCAAAACUUGAGGAACUACACUUGAAUAAAUCUUUAGCUAAGAGAUUGUAUACGAAGAAGAAGCUCUAUACAUUCUAAAUGAAGACAGGGACCAAUAUGAAAGAUCAUUUGGAUAAGUUUAAUAAACUGAUCUUGGAUCUUGAAAAUGCAAAUAUUGUCUUGGAAGAUGAGGACAGAGCACUUAUUCUUUUAAGUUCAUUACCAGAUUCAUAUGAACACUUUGUAGAUAUUCUGCUAUAUGGCAAACAAACACUUACUCUAAAGGAUAUCAAGAAUGCUCUAGAAUCAAAGGAUUUGAAGAAAAGAACAGAAGACAGGGAUUAGAACCAAGGUGAGGGUCUAGUUGCCAAGUUUAGACUAAAGAAGAAAGCUAAUAAAGAUAAAAAGAAUAAUAAUUAAAAGGAUAAAGCUGAUAUGAAAAAAAAAAUGUUACUUCUAUCAUAAAAAAGGACAUUACAUCAAAGAUUGUUUUGAGAAGAAGAAACUUGAAAAGCUGCAGGAGGAGUCAAAUGGUAAAACUGCUAUUGCAUCUGAAGACGAGGGAAAUACUGAUGGUACGGAUGUUCUUAUUGCUGCUAAGAAACACCCAUUGGUGAGUGGAUUCUAGACUCUAGAUGUUUUUUUUUUCAUAUAUGUCCAAAUAGAGAAUUCUUCAAGACAUUUGAGAGUAUAAAUGGUGGCAAAGUCUUUUUAGGAAACAACCUUGCUUGUAAGGUUCCAAGAAUUAGUACUAUUAGUAUCAAGAUGUUUGAUAGGGUAACUAGGGGACUGAAAUAAGGUAUGUUCAAGACUUGAAAAGAAAUUUAACUUCCCUAGGGAUGAUUGAUCAAUUGGGUUGCAGCAUUAAGGUAGAGAUUUAGUCAAUAUUGCCAGCUAUCUAAUGCACUCAUAUAUAUUGUAAGCUCAUUUUAUCAUCUAAUCAAUGCUCGGUCAACAGAAAAAGAAACUUUUUGCACAAGCUCAAUUUUAAUCUGGUCUUGACUCAUCUUAAGAUUUUUGAGCCUCCAGAAUCCAAAUUUGAUAUCCGUUUAUCUAUUUGGAGCCUCGAAUUACGUGAAAUUAAUAUUUUACCUAAUAAACACACAAAAAUACACAAAAUUAGAUAUAGUUAAGACAUAAUUAAUAAUCCCUAAUAUAUUGCAUAAACACAAAUUAUAAUAUAAGUACAAAAUAAUAUUUUUAUCGCUUGAUAAUCAAACAAUAUUUAAUACUAAUCAACAUCUUUCUCUAGUGAUAACAAAAUAUAGUCCUAUCUUAAAUCAAAUUUUGUCAAUUUAAUUUUGAAAACCCUCUUUUUGCAAAAAGUAUUACUACCAAUAUUAUAAACAACUUCCUACGAACAAAGCACACAAUUAUUUUAGCAAAAUAAACACAACACCGAAUAAAGAUAAUAAUACUUUUCAAAAAGAAAUGAGACAACUAAAUAACAAAAUAAUUAAGAGGAGAAUAUAAAGAUAAAACCUGAAAGUUUGAGAUAAAAUCAUAAAGUAACUUUGAUGGUUUUAGGUAUUAAGCAUUAACCAAUGACCAAAAAGAAGAAAAAUAAACAAUUGAUUUGUUUCUAAAAAGUUAUUACUAGUAUUAGAAAAAACAAUCGGUGACAAGCAUUUAGUUGCUGUACAAAUUAAAAACAUCAGCCCUUGAACACAAUGAUAUUUUCAUAAAGAAAUAAGACAACUAAAUAGCAAAACUAAUUAUGAAUAGGUUAGAAAGAUAAAACCUAAACAUUUGAUAUGAAAUCAAAGAUUAAGUUUGAUGAUUUGAGGCUUUAAGCAGUAACCAAUGGCUAUGAAAAGCAUAAAAAGUAAAUUGCUAUUCUUUUUUUUUUUUUAAUUAAUGCCCUUAUUGUGUCAUUGUUUAAGGAAGAAAUAUUGUUAACGGAUAAGUUCACAAAUAUAGGGUUUUGUUUUUUAAAUGGAGGUUUAAAAGGAAUAAACAAUGUUUUAGUUAAAAUUUAUUAAUUUAAUGUCACAUAGAGAUUUUAUAGGGAUUAAAACUAUUAAUUCUAAUGAGAUUUUGUAGGGAUUUCGAUAAUUUAUUUCGGUAAAGAUAAUUAUAAAGCAAUAAUAAAAUAAAAUUAAUAAAUACAGAAUUAUGAUUGAGUUUGCUACAAAUUACGAAUUUUUAUCUUUUUAUGUAUAAAAUAAUAGAUUUAACGUAACUAUGGGGCCUUAAUCUAUAAUAGGCCCUAUCAACUGCCUAAUUUGUCUAAGGGAAGAGUCACUUAUGAGUGAGAAUUUUUUGAAAUUCAGUCAUGCGUCCGAUGCCAAGCUCAGAUUACCGUUUUUCUUAUUUAUUGAUUUUGAGGUUUAAGAACUGUUUCACACUGUCUCGAUUCCUAACAGCUUCAGGGAGCAAGGGCGUUACACUCUUCGAAUCCUGAAUUUGAUCAAUAGCAAACAUGUCGUCACAUACGAUCACAUGCAAAACAGAGUUGAGAAGCCACCUGGGCAAAAUUAAAAAUAAGCCAUGGCUCAAAAUUUGGGGGGAAAAAAUAGAACUUACCGUUAUGUGAGAUAGUGUUAGCUUCUCUAAACAAAAAACAAAAAGAAAUUAUAGACACAACAAAAAGAAAUUACUGUGGAGGGUGGAGACUAAGAGAAGAGAAAGAAAGAGUGGAUUUGAUGAGGUGAAAAAAUUAGGGCGGGUUAUGCCCUAAUUUUUGUUUUCACUUAUAUAUUUUGUCUUAUUAUCCUUAAUAACUCCUAAAUUAGUCUUCAAAUUUUAUAACUUUUAAUAAAAAUUUAAUGAUAAAUAAAUGAUUUAAUUAAAUGAAUGGAUUGUAUUUGAUUCGUUUAUCAUCCAUUUAUUAAACGAAUUAUAAACAAAUAAAUGAAUAAAUAUCCUUAAACUUAGAUUCAAUUUGUUUAUUUAGCGUAUUGAAUUGAAUUCACCCAUUUAUUAAACGAAUCAAUUUGGUAUAAAGCCAAUUUGAAUCUGAUCACAGACCGGUUUUGGUUCGUUUUGAGCGCAAUGGUAGAGGAAUGGGGAGUAUAAAGCCUUUCCGGUUUCUAGCUGCCUGGAUGACAGAUAAUCGGUUUGGGGAUUUUAUGCAUGACAAUUGGCAGAGAAAUAUGCCUUAUGCUCAAGCAGCUUCUAACUUCACAAGUAAGGUAGCUACUUGGAAUAGGGAAGUUUUUGGUAAUAUUUUUAAAAGGAAAAAAGAAUUGCUGGCUCAUCUUGGCGGGGUUCAAAAAGCCUUGGAAAGGCAGCCUCUCAGUAGCCUGUAUCGUCUGGAGGUACGGUUAAAAAAGAAGUUGGAAGAAGUUCUGUCUCAAGAGGAGCUGUUAUGAUAUCAAAAAUCUCGCAGAGAGUGGAUUAAAUAUGGGGAUCGGAAUACAUCAUUUUUUCAUCAAAAAAUCAUUACAAGGAGGGCUCGUAAUCGCAUCACUGCAAUCAGGGAUGAUGGAGGUAAUUGGCUUUAUGAAGCUCAAGAUAUUAAAACCCAUGCUGUGACAUUUUUCUCUACACCAUAUAAAUCUUAACAGGAUACAUAUAAGCCGUAUCAUAUGCGAGGGUGUUUCCCUCAAAUUGACCACACCCGAUUGGCGAGUCUUGCUGUGCCGGUGGAGAAGGAAGAAAUUCAUGAGGCAGUCUGUCAGAUGAGUCCUCUCAAAGCUCCUGGAAUCGAUGGCUAUCCUGCUGGGUUUUAUCAGGCUCAGUGGCAUAUUGUUGGUGAGUCUUUUAGUUCUGGUAUACAGGAAGUCUUUAAUUCGCACAGGAUCCCCAGAGAUGUUAGUAAAACUCUCCUAGUCCUGAUCUCAAAGACUGAGCGUCCCACAUCCUUCAGGAUGUAUCGCCCUAUAAGUUUAUGCACAGUAUUUUAUAAAACAGUAACCAAGAUUAUUGUGAAUAGACUCCAAGCUUUACUCCCUGAUCUUGUUGGCCCUCAUCAGACAAGUUUUGUCCCCGACCGGCAUAUUACGGAGAAUAUCAUCAUCGCUCAAGGGGUUGUCCACUCUAUGCGACGAAAGAUGGGUAAAAAAUGUAUAAUGGCUAUUAAGAUUGAUUUAGAGAAAGCAUAUGAUAGAUUGAACUGGAAUUUUAUUCAUGAGACUUUAAGGGAGCUAGCUUUGCCAUUCGAGCUCGUCCAGUUAAUAAUGGAGUGCAUUACUUCUAAUAGGAUGAACAUUUUAUGGAAUGGGGAAUUAACGGGGGAUUUUGCCCCUAGUAGAGGUGUUCGGCAGGGUGAUCCGUUGUCUCCUUAUAUUUUUGUUCUCUGUAUCGAGAGACUGAGUCAUGGAAUCUAUCGCUCAAUCCAGCAAGAACAAUGGAAACCAAUUCGUUUAGCUCGAAUGGGUACCCCCUUAAGCCAUUUAUUUUUUUGCCGAUGACCUACUUCUUUUUGCCGAGGCUUCUAGUGCACAAGCUCUCUUAAUAAAUUCAGUCUUAGAUGAUUUUUGUUUUAGCUCUGGCGCAAAGGUGAACAAAUCCAAGACUCAAGUCUAUUUUUCUAAGAAUAUCUCCGGGGCUGUAGCUGGCCGAUUAGGGCGUGAACUGGGGUAUACAAUCACAAAAGAUUUGGGCAAUUACUUAGGCAUGCCUCUGCUGCAUCGCCGGGUUUCAAAACAGACUUAUCAGGGAAUUCUGGAUAAAAUGCAGCAAAGACUUUCGGGUUGGGCUGCCUCCCAACUGUCCUUUGCAGGGCGUAUUACUCUCACCCAAUCUGUCCUCCAAGCAAUCCCUAUAUAUGCUAUGCAGUCUACUAAUUUACCGGCUAGUAUCAAGACUAAAAUUGAUCAAGUUUGCAGAAGAUUCUUGUGGAGUGGAAAUGACGAAAUGCGUAAGAUGAGUUUAAUUAGUCGGCACACUAUAUGUCAACCGAAGCUGGCUGGUGGGCUAGGAUUUAAGAGAUUGGAGGUUAUGAAUGAAGCGUUAUUGUUAAAGGUUGCUUGGAACUUGAUCACCGAACCUGGUAAGCUUUGUGCCCAAGUACUAGCUACAAAAUACAGAGUGUCUCUCUCGGAUAUCCCGCAAUUUCUUCCCACUCGGCAUGGCUCUCAUUUGUGGAGGUCUGUGUGUCGAGUUUGGGAUCAUGCCAAGCGAGGAUUACGUUGGAAUGUUGGUAAUGGACUGAGAGUUCAAUUUUGGUGGGACUGUUGGGCCCCUUGCGGCUUUUAUUUUGAAACCAAUACCUCCUGAACUUUGUGAUUUGUAUGUGGCUAACUUUGUGACUGCAGAUGGCACCUGAAACUGGCCGAAGUUCAGCUAUCUUUUAUCCCAUAAUGCAGUGAUGCGCAUUGCUUCAGUCCAUCCCCCUUCGGCGCGGAAUGGUGCUGAUAAAGCUUACUGGGCAGCUGCAACUCAUGGAAAGUUCACAGUGAAGUCAGCAUAUGACCACUUGGCUCAGCCAUACUUGCAUGAAAGGGAUAUGAUCUGGCGCUUGGCGUGGUCGUGGAAGGGACCGCAGAGUAUAAAAACUUUCAUCUGGUUGGUGCUGCAUAAUCGUUUGAAGACGAGGGGAGAGUUAGCUGAACGACAUUUAACCAUUGAACCACAUUGUGAGAGAUGCAGGUAUGAGUUGGAGACCACGAUCCAUGUGCUUCGUGAUUGUCCUUAUUCUAGAGCAGUAUGGAUUCGACUUCUUCGGGACAAUAAUCAUCAUGAUUUUUUCAACAUUGAUCUUGCGGGGUGGAUGUCAAGAAACUUGCAAGCUUCAAACAAGUCUCCAGGUGGAAACCUUUAGCGUGUGCUGUUUGGAGUGGCUAUUUGGCGGAUUUGGUUCUGGCGAAAUCAUUUUAUUUUUACUAAGGAUUAUUGGGAUAGCAAUAGUAUUGCAAUGGAUAUCAAAGUCAGGGCUGCUGAAAUUCUACGAAGUAAUUCCUGCUCCUUUGCUGCUGGUAUAACCCGUAUCGAAAAAUGGAUUCAGUGGACUGCGCCUGUUUGGCCUUGGGUUAAAUUAAAUACAGAUGGUGCCAAGAAAUCUUCGGCGAUUGUAGGAGCUGGUGGACUAAUCCGUGACUUCAGAGGUGUUUGGCAAGUAGGCUACAGUGCAAAUUUAGGUGUUUGCUCGGUGACUUCAGCUGAGCUCUGGGGAUUAUUUCAUGGACUAUCUAUCGCUUGGCAAUAUGGGUUCCGCAGAGUGUACGUGGAAGUAGACAGCAUGUGUGUUAUGAGGUUAAUCUCCAAUCCAAAUCCUCCUAUCAAUGAGCAUUUUACUCUCAUUCAGGAAAUCCAAGCACUCCUCCGGCGUGAUUGGCUGACCAAAGUGGAGCAUAUCUAUCGAGAAGCCAAUGAAGCAGCUGAUUUCCUGGCUUUGUACAGUUUUUCCUUCUCCUUGGGUUUACAUUGUUUUCAAUCUAUUCCUCCAAAUAUGCUUUGCAUAUUGACUAACGAUGUUCAUGGGGUUGCACACUCCCGUUUAGUGUUGCCUUAGCUCUCUUAUGAGCCCUUUAAUGAUAAAAAAAAAAAUUAAACGAAUCAAUUUUUUAAAUCGAAACCCAUUUAAUUCGCAUAGAAUCAAAUUGAAUAAAACGAAUCUUGACCAAGAUUGCCACUCCUAAUUUUGGUACUUUCCAUUUUUAAUUAGAGUCAUGUAUUUUAUUUACAAUAUAAUUCUAUUUACAACAUAAUUGUGAUUUAGUUUACCUUUUAAGGUAACAUGGGGAAGUAUGUUUACCCUAUUAUAAAUAGGGAGGUAUUGUCAUUGUCAGCUCGAUUUCAAUUAUUUAAUAAAAUCUCUCUUUUAUAAUUCUUUUUGGAAUUAUCUAUCAAAAUCUUUCUUGUAGGAUCGCUUGAAUUAGAAUGAGAUCUAAUUACGCUUCCAUUAGAGCAUAACUUGAUUGCAUUGGUUUAGUCUGGUAUUAUAACGAUAUCUAGUAUUUAUUUACCCUAACAAACCACUUCUGCUACCCUGCUCCAUUACAAGAACUUGAAGGAUCACAAUUGGCCAUGUCAAGGCGCUUAAUCUCAAAGGUCCAACGGCCAAAAUGCUCAAAGGAAAGUCUCGAAAGGUACAAUUAGUCCUGCUAUGCUUGAAUUUCAUGAUUUAAUGCAUUUGGACCUCAGUAACAAUCACUUCGGUGGAAGUCCAAUUUAUGAAUUCGUUGGUUCCCUCUGCAAAUUUGAGGUACCUCAAUCUCUCUUGUGGUACACCUUCAAUCUCUCAUCAAGCUGAAGACAGUUAAAUUCUACUCUGCUAUUGAUCAAUGUUAGCAGUCUUCUUUAUUGGGUGAAUAAAUUUAACUGGCAAGCUAUUUGGCAAAUAUAAACAGAUUAAUGGAUUUUUGCAUGCCUUAUGUCCCUUUCUUGGUGUUGACUGAUUAUUAAGAUUAACCCGCAAACGGAGCAAACUUCAAAAAAUAAAAGAGAUCUUGCUAAAAUUAUUCAAAACGACGUAGUGGACAUAUGCAUAAAGCUAAAACACACAACUACAUAAAAAUUAAAAAAAAUUAAGCUGCAUCUGUAGCUUGGAAAUCCAUUUGCGCGUCUCACCACGCGAGAGAAGAAAAGUAAACCCAAACUAGCUAUCAAGUGAGUACCAACGUUUGAUUCUACAAUGGUACAUAGUAAUAACAGAAAAAGAGAAGAGAAAAAAAAUCUAUUAAAAUUAGUUAAGUAAUAUUUAAUCUAUUCCAUAAUCUUACAAACAAAGUACGUGAUAGGUUCGUAUAUAAUCUGAUUCAAGAUCAUUCGUAAUAAAAUGUGCAUGAAGAGAUAGAACUAUACAAGAAUUCGCUCUUAUUGUAUUCGAAUUGGUUAUUCGUAAUUUGUUUCUUUUACUUUUUAUUUUAUAAUUUUUUUUAUAGAAUAUGGUACUUUAGGUUGAAAUUUUGAAUUUCAAAUAUCUUAUCGUUUUUUAUUUUAUUUAUAUAUUAAUUCAAUUUUUUAAAAAGGAAAUAAAUUCUAAAAUGAGCCAUUGUAUUAAAAGGCUUGGCUUUAUAAAAAUAGCUCUUACAUUAUUUUUCAAAACACUAAAGGCGAGGAAAAAAAAAAAGACUAAACGCAAAAAUGGUUUUAGAAAGGCAAGAGGAGAAGAUUUUUAUGGUGUUUUUCAAUAAAAAGAGUUUUUGAGUUUUGAUACAUGGUCUUGAAGGAAGGAGAUUAAAACCAAUAUGUAAUUAUAAUCUUUUGAAAUUUUGAUUUUAUUCAAGAUUUUAUGUGAUAGAUUGAAUGGCUUUGUGUGUAAUAUCAAUGAAAUUGUUAAAGCAUGAUGUAUCAUUGACUCCAUGUUGUAAUUGAAUGGAAGUUGUGUUUUUGUAUUAUUCUGAAAAAUUAUGAACAGUGUAGAUUGAAUGCUAAAUAACUGCUGCUUUCAUUGAGUCUUAUGCAUGAAACUUUAUAAUUUAUUAAACUAGAUAUCAUUAGCUUUCUAUUGACAUGAUUAUUGUUUAAAAGCUCAUGGUAUAAUAAUUGUAAUAAUUUUUUUGAAUUUGGAAUACUGGUGCUGGAAAAUGCCAAUUUUUAGCAGCAGUUCUCAAUUCCUAACUUUAUUUCGUAACUCAAAUUACUUCUGAAAAUUAUGGCAACUUCUAUUAUGUUACAUAUGUAUGUCUAAUUUCUGUAUAUGUUUCGUAAUUUUUAGGUUUAUAGAAAAAUCAUUAAAAAUCAUAGAGUUGGGAUGCUGUAAUCCUGGAAACUGUUCUCCAAAAUUACUAAGACUGAUAUUGAAGUCACUUUGGAUUAUUGUUUCAUCACUAAAUGCCUUAUAAAUUUUAAUUUUGAUUUCCUAUUGUUUUCACUAUUGAUAAAACUUGAAUUACAAUUUUGUAACAUGUGUACUUAAAGUUAUGAAUUUUUAAAUCAACAGACCUCUGUUUAUAUCACUACUAUUUUUUGACAUUUUUGUGAAAAAUUAUUCAGGGAUGUUUUUGAACUCUGAUUAACUUUAUGAUGUUUUAUAUUGAAUGCCAUGCAUGUUCAUAGUAGUUCCUUUUAAUAUUUGUGAUUUUCCAACAGAAAAUAGCUCGUAUAGGAUGGUUGGGUGUAGUUUAGUGAAUGGAUAUACUUAAGUGAGUGCUAAUGGUUUAAAGAUGCUUGACUCUCCCAUCAAGGUUAGAAUUGAUAAUGUUAUUGAUGAGAAUCUUGUCUUGAUAAUUAUAGGCUAAUCAUGAGCUAGUAUAAUUGAGGUUAUUGAUUGAUUGCUUCAGAUCGAAGUAAGAGAAUUAAUGCAAAAAGUUUAAUAUCUACAUACAGAAAGAAUAUUGUUUAUAUUGAGUUAGCAUUUUAUGGUAUUAUUGCCACUAUAUAUUUUCUAAAAUUAGAUAUAUAUUAAUUACAAUAUAUUUUAGUCAAAUGAACCUCUUUUAAAAUUGUACUUUUCAAAAAAAAAUUUCAAGUGACUUUGAAAAAUAUUUGAUUUUCCAAUAAUUUAUUUACCUAAAAAUACUUGAAAAGCUUUGCCAAAUAAAUGUCUUACAACAUUAUUGAUAGAUUAUUGAAUGAUUGAUAUUGAAAGAUUAAAAAUUACUUUUAAGGUUUUGGCUCAUUGUCCGUAGUUAUUAUUAUUGACACGACUGAACAACUAGCUGUAUUACCAUUACAAUUAUUAUGGGGUACAAUACCUUGAUUGAUUAAUUGGCUGGAUCAUCGGGAUUAUAGGUGAUAUAUUAAUUGUUGGGCCACAAGAUUAUAGGUGAUAUAUUGAUUAGCCGAGUCAUCGAGAGCGCAGGUGACACUAUGUGACAUGAGCAAUUGAAUAAAGGAAAUAUUUUAUUGUUAAAUGAUUUCUUAGAUGAUUAAAUAUUGAAAAUGAUUAUUACAUGAUGACUUAACUUAAAAUGAAUUUUAUCAUACUCAUGCAAUAGAUUGUAAAAUCAAUAUUGUUUUCCAAUUUAUGGUUCCUUAUAAUGAUUAUUAUGUGUUUUAUCGUUAUUGGUAACCUCAUACAUGAAUUUACUUACCAAGUUGAUGGCUCACCCCUCGUCUCUAACAUUUUGCAAGUUAAUUUUAGAGAUGUGGGGUUUUUGGUUUAGAGAAGAGGAUUUUUUAACUAACACAUUUUCGUUGAUGAAUAAAUUGUCAUUAUUUUGGUUAUUGUUCAGAGUUGAAUUUGUUUUGGAUGAUUAUUGUUAUAUUUAUUAUUUUAGAGAUUUUAUUUUGACAGUGGACAAUAUUGAUUUUUCUGAAAAUAUUAAUAAGAUUAAUAUCACAAGGUUUCAUUCCCAAUUCCUCUUGUAAAUUAUAGGGUGAAUUUGGGUUAUUGCAUUAUUAAUUAAAUUUCUACAUAGAUGACAUUACAAAGAUGUUGAUCAAAGACUAAAAUAUUUCAAAGUAAUGUUGUUAGGGUGCACCAAAUUUAAAACCUUACUACUAGUAUAAAUAAUUAGUACAGAGCGAGUAAGGAUCGAUCCCACAAAGACUAUGCUAGUUGUAUUUAUUAUCAACUCUAAAGUAGAACUUAAAAUAAAAUAAUAAUAGGAAUAAUAAUAUAAAUUAAUCUAACUAAAGAAAAUGCCAACUAAAAAUAGAGAAAAGGGGGUUUUUGAAAUUUUAACUAAAUAGCAAGAAAUAAAGAAAUUAAAACUACGAAAACAAUAAUUUAAUAAAAACUCUAAUUAAAGGAGAAAGAAAUAACAAUGAGAAAAACUUUGGUUAAAAGAUCAUUCGCCACCACCAAACAUGCACAUAAUAUAUCAAUUAUAUCAUUAAUUUAUAUUGAAACUAUCAACCGUAGACAACAAUAAGCUCUGUUAGUCUCAAUCUUUCCUUAGUAUGUCGUUAGGCAAAACAAGCUCUUCAUCUAAUCUCUAACUAUUAAAUAAUUUAAAAUAAGCUCUUUAAAUUUAAGAUAAUGGAAGCAUUAAGUAGAGAAAGAUAUUAGGUUGAUUUAGGCAAUAAACAAACAAGCUCAGAUUAUUUAACCUAGGUUAUGUUCUCCAAUCGAAAUCACUGAUUCCAACCUACUACUAAUGAUUAAAAUAUCAAGACAAUUAUGGAUUAAGAAUUUUAAUCUAGCAAUAGAAUUUAUUCAAGUUCUAUCUAAUUGGCCACUCAAAUAAGACAGGAAUGAAAUCAUAAACAUUAAUUAUAGAAGAACAUAAAUAAUCUCAAUUAAAUAAAUUGAAUGAUAGAAAUUAAAAAAUUCAAUUGCAUAGCAUGUUUAGGGUUUUGAAUUCACCCUCAACCAAAUAAAAAAUCUAGCCUAACAUAAUUAAAUUGAGAAUAAAAAAGUUAAUAAAACCAGACAUAGAGAUUAAUUCAAACAACUUUCUCCUCUAUUUUUUCUCUUCUACUUUUGGGCUGCAAAUUGUUUUUGUAUGUGUAGCUGCCGAUCCUCCUAUUCUCCUCUAAUUCUGCCGCAAGUCUGGCUUUUAUAGUAGCUUUUAUUGUGCGCCUUAAAUCCUCGCAUGGAAAGGAUUAAAAACAAAAGCCAAGCCGCCACUUUUUGUUCACGCAUGCACAUAACUUGUAGAAUUAAUUGGCCAAUGAAUAUUGUUAAAGCCAAAGCCCAUCACGUGCUUGCCAUUUAAAGCCAUGCCAAAAUAUUUGCUUCCUCAAUUAAUCACAAUAUAUGUUUCCCAUGUGAUUGCAUGCAUGUUGAUUAAUCAAAUUAAAUCUUUCUUUCAUGAUCUCUUGUGUAUUUUUAUCUCUCAAUCUUCAAUUCUUUUCCUAUUCUGAUUCUUUCAAUGAAAUUUCUUUCCUGAAUGCUCCGAUUUAAUUUCUCUUUAAUCCUAGAAUAUAUCUAAAAUAAAAAAAAUAAAAAAACUAAGAUAAAAAUUAAUACAAUAAAAUAUAAUUUUAACAAAAUAACUAAAUUAAAAAUUAACUGAAAUAACUAGAAUAUUUAAGAUCAAAACAAGAAAAAGAUGGAGAAAUUAAUAGCAAAAUAUAUGAAAAAUAUGCACUUAUCAGAAGACUAAGAGUGCGUUUGGGAGUGAGGUGCUGAAACUUUUAAGCUGCAGCUACAGUGAAGUAAAAGUUAUAGCUGUGGAGUAGAAGCUGAUGAUAUUUGAUAAAGAUGUUGUAGCUUUUAAGCUGCAGAAGCUUAUAGUGUUUGGUAAAUACAUGUGUCUAGUAUUUUCAAUUUUAAUUUCAUAAUUUUUUUAUAUAUAUAAUUUUAUAAAAAUCCCGGGACCCAUAUUAUUAAGUUAAGACACUGUGAGAAAAUUUUGAAUUUAAUAAGAAAUAAAUAGUUUUGAAAAUGUUUUUGGUAUUGGAUCCUCCUAAAAAUUUUAUUGGAGAUACCCAUGGAUGUCGAGAAUAGAUCUAUGUAAUUUUGUGUCAUUUUGAUUAUUAGAUUAAGAGUUAAAAUUCAGAGAAUCAGACUUCUACGGGUAUGAAUUAGAAAAUUAAGAUCUUGGAAUAAGUUGUUAAUAGUUAUUUCUUGUAUUUGUUUAAAGUAUUGGAGGUGUUUGAGAUUGUUAGAGGCUUAGAGGUGUGUUUAAAUAAUUGCUUUUAUCGAGAUAAGUAACUCUAUUCCUAAUGUACUGGAUAUCUAAUGUACUAGAUAUAUAUGAUAAUUUUGAUAUUUCAAUAUUAUUACAAGUACGUGUGUUUUCUUAGUUCUUCAUAACAAAAAUAAUUGAUGUGAGUGUUUUUAAAUUUGAAAAUUAUGCCAUUUUUAUGGUUUUAACAAAAUAUUAUAAAUGCCUUAACAUGUGCAAUUUAUUUUGCUAGAUAAUUAUAUUUUUGAAAUUGUCUGUAAAAUGUUAGAAUGGAAAUUGUUCUGCAAGCCUAAAUCAUUGUUAUGAUCAUUUAUGAAUCUAAUAUGAAUAUUAUGUUCACGUAUUCGAUUAAAAUUAUCUAUGAAAAUUUAUGCAGGGGCCACCUUUUGAGACUGUAUGGAGGCCAUAUCUCGAGGACUAAAGUGUCGCGUAUAGUAUAAAGUACCACGUGUAAUUUGCUACAAAGGAAAAAUAAAUUUAAAUGUUUUGGUUCAUUGUCCGUAGUCAUUUUGAUUCUGUUAUAUACUUACACACACACACACACACACACACCAGUAUUGAGUUUCUAUUCUGAUUGUGUCUAUGAUAUUCUUAUUCUCAUUCUAUUCCAGCCUGGUCAUCGAGAGUAUAGGUGACACUAUGUGACAUGAGCUAAUCUUUUGUGUCCUGUAUUUAUAUAUUAAGUGAUUUGUUUCUAUGAUUAAUUAUGAUCUCGAUAUUCUGGAUAAUUUAUGAAUUUGUCCUUAUGUUAUUAUAUCUCAUUGUAAAAUUUAUGUGAUUUGUUGUGAUAUAUAUAUUGGUAAACAAGGCUUGCAAUACUUUUGGUAUCGGAUAUCCCUGGGGUGUUAGGAAUGAUUUUACUUGCCGAAUUGAUGGCUCACUUCUCGUCAUUACUUUUUGCAGAUUGAGUGACUUGUUGAGAGAUGUGCUUAUCUUUGGAGUUAGAGAUUAAUUUACUUUUGCUAGUUGAAUAAAAGAAGGACGAAUUUCUAUUUCUUUUAAGCUUGUUAGUCUUCUGAACUUGUAAUUGGAGAAUUUUGAAACUUUUGUUACAUUUAUGAUUUGGGAGAGAAAUGCCAAGUAUUUGACUUCUGGAUUUGUUGAUUUGUUUAAUAAAAUUUGAGAUAUUUCAGUUUGAGAUUUUGUGUGAGGAUUUCAAUAUGUAAGUAAUCUCCUACUAUCACGUGCUCCACACGUGUUAAAUUUGGAGUGUUACAAUUGUUAAGCUUUGCAUAUCCAAAUUGAUUAAGUUGAAAAAUAGGGUAAGAUGAUAGGAUUCUAGGGUUUUACUUAGAGAAUUCAAGAGAGAAAAGAUGAGGAAUUUAAGAAUUCAUAGGGGAGAGAGAAGAAUUAACAGGGGUUAGAAUUAAUUUUAUUAUUGCUUGCUUAAAAACAUAAUGAGAGCCACUUACUUAUAGUGGCUCAACACAUUCCUAAUUCUAAUCUAAUUAGAACCUUAAAUUAUAAUUGUAAUAAGAAAACCUAAUCCUAGUAGGAAAGAAAAAAUAAACCACUUGGGUUCUGUAGAGAUUUGAUUGAACUGCUAAUCUUAUAAAACCAAAACUCUGCCCAUGAUCUUUGACUAAGAUCAACAGAAGUAGCACACAAGCAAUAAAAUUGAACCAGAAUCUAUUCAAUAUCCUCUCAAAAGACUUAACCACUCAACAACAGAAAUUAAACAACAGAAAAGAAUGAAUCAGAAACAAAAUCACAGAGAGAGCAAGAGAUAACGUGGUCCAAUCUUUUUCAAGACUUACAUUCCCGAGUGAAAACAUCAGAGAUUGUUUUUUUGAUCGAUUCAACGAAGAAACUACAAGUACUCAGAAUUGAGGAUACAGAGCUUAAGAAUUAGUUUUCUCUCUCCAAGAUUCUCUCUCGAAUACUCUCGAAUCACUUCCCCAGGUGAGGUGCAAAACCAGCUUUAUAUUACAGGGGGAUAACAGAACAAUGAACCCAGAUAGCACAGCCCUCUUCCACGUGCCCAAGACCGUUAAAAGAACAGGGAUGCACUUAAGUGACCACGUGACUUAGCACGCGCAAUUUCUUGAAUCUGUUAUGAGUAAAACGCAAGCUUUAACGUCGUUUACAGUUAGUAAUCACGAGCUCCCUGACGUGACUUCAUAACGGAUUUAACCGAUGGCCCAAUACGCUGCCGUUUGCUCUGGUUUGUGUUUGAAUUCAUUGACUCUACAGGUUCUAAUAGAUUCUUUUGUUUCAAAAUGAAGAUUGAAGAUCAUCCACGGCAGUAGGAGAUUUAAGUUGGAAGACUUAUGGUGUUGACAGUCUUUUUGCUUUUAUUUCCAGAAUUUAUUUCCUUCUUUGCAAGUUGUGUUCUCUCAAGACUCGCAGCUCCGCCAAAUUCUGGCGUGAAGGCUUAUCACCUUCCUCUUUAAUGCAGGUUUGCAGCCCACAUCAGUCGCCAGUUGGAGUCAAAUUAAUGAAAAAUUUAGGGUCGUGUAAUUGGUCUCAUGCAUCCACAAAUUUGAUAAAUUUUAACUCACAAUGGGUAUAAACUUAUGGUGAUUUAAUAAGAAUGCAGUGAAGAAUUAAGAGAUAUUCAAGUGCCUGCAAUUGUGUUGGUUUCCCAAAUCCCAACCAAUCCAACAUUUCAGGAUAAGGCUUUUUGUUUAAAUUAAUAGCACAACGUGCCAGAGGGAUAGUCCAAAUUCUUGUUGCGUUCUCUCAACUCUCAAUUCUCAUGAUAUUAGUUAUAGCUUCGUAAAGAACAUUUGGCAACAUCAGAUGGAGGAAUCUGAAACAGAGAUGGCGUCAUUGCCCUAUGAUUGAGGCUUUGAAUUAACUCUUUCCCAGCAUGUUUCUUUGAUUCAUGAGGAUAUACAUUCUCUUUUUUUUUUCAUAAUACAUUAAUUAAAUCUUAUACAAAUGGAAGAAGGAAGCAAGAAAAGUAAAUCAAACAUUGAACAUGACAAGGUACAAGAAGCAAGCAAGUCUCAGGUAUCAAGCUUUCCUAGGCGACAACCAAGUUCAACAAAGCAAAGGUGAAGCAAGGCAAACAAGAAUUCAAGCCGCACGUCAUAGACUCACCAAGCUUCAACACAGUGAACAAAUCAAGGCUGCUUACCAGCAUUUGUUGUACAAGCAAACUUCUCAGUUUUAUGUCACAACAGAUGGUAUCUCGUGUUCUUGAGUAGAGAAGAUACAAUAAUAUUUACCAUUAGAAUCUGCUAUCAACUCUGUUAAAUCGAAUUUUCUCUAAUAUUUACCAUUAGAGUAGCAAAGCUAUUAACAUCUCAAUUUUCUCUGAAUGCUCCAUGAGAAUGGUAUUUAUGUUAUGAUCCAACUCAAACCUGGCAAGAGGAUAUUGCCUGUUUUGAGCCUUAACAAGGCCGCAUGGUUUUGUUUCUAGGACACCCAUACAUCCUAAAACGCAUAUUAUCAAUAAAGGUGUGGAUCAGCUCUUAUAAACCCAACAUCUCUCUUGUACUUUGUCGAUGUGAGAUUUGUCUUGGGUGUUACAAUUCAGGUGCCAUUAAUCCAAAUUUGGCGAUUGUGUGAAGUACUCUUAUGCGUAUUUUAACCUCUGAAACAAAAACUGGUGACAUGGAGGUAUUACAUGCAUUGUCAUUAAAUUAAUAUAAGCGCUAAUCUCAAAGUAUGUGUUGUAUGCAUGUUCUUAAUGUGGCUCACAUUCAUGAGUUUGAGAUUAAUUAAGACUACUCACAUUUUUAUGAUUAGAUAAUGAUAAGAAUAGUUGUUCCAUAUUUCUAAAAAAUUAAGAUAAGGAUAAUUUCUCAUUUUCUUGAUGGAGGGAAGUGAAUGAAGUCCGUUAAAUAGACUAAGGGUCCUUAGCCUAGCCUACAUAUGACUUUCCGUGAGAAUUACCCAUCGAAUUAAAGGCUAUAUAGAGGAAUAGACUAGAAAAUUCUAACCAUUUUUUAGAUUAACUUAAAUAAUAAUGACUGGAGGUAGAGGUACGUAACUUAUUUAAGUUUAUAAUCUAAAAUAUAUUUGGAAAAAUGCUUUUUUCAUCCCUAAGGUUUGAAAUAGCCUAUUUUAUCCUUACUAUUUAAAUAAUAGUCUAUUUCAUCCCUAUUUUUUAAGCAAUAGCCUGAAACACCAUUUCAUUAAUUUACUGUUAUUAUACUGUAUAAUUCAUUGAGGGCAAAAUAAGAUUUCUAAAUAAUGAUCAAUUAUUUUAAAAUAAACUCUCAAACACAAAUAAAAAAUAUAUGUCUUUCUAUAUAAAUUUAAAAUUUAAGGAUUACUUAAGAAAGAAAAAAAUAACAUUAAAUAAUAUGUAAAAUAUACAUUUAGGACAAAAAACAAACCAUAGAUUUCACAAGCACUAGAUUAUUUUUUUUAUCCUUUAGCUUAUUCUUAACUUUAAUAUGGUCGAAAUAAAUAAAUAAAUAAAUGAUCAAUCAGUACUGUUAUUAUACCAAAAGUAAUUAUGGACUCCUUUAUUUACUUAAAAAAAAAUACACACUAAAUACAUAACAAACUACAUUUCAAAAUACUGCAGAAUAAAAUAUAAUGCAUUGGAUUUUUUUUUUUUAAUCUUUUAGCUUAUUCUUGACCUUAAUAUAAACAAUGAUUCUUGAUGAAAAGAAUUAUUAUUAUUAUUAUUUUGUUAACUUUAUUAAAAAAAGAAUUUAAUGAACACAUGUGUGUGUGUGUGUGUGCGUGUGUGUGUGUGUGUUGCAUAUUCUUUAGUAUUAUUUUUGUUUCAUUAAGUUAUACUUAAAUUUUAAAUUUAUGCAAAAAAGUCAAAUGUUAUUCAAUUAUUCUUGAGAUUUUUAUUUUAAAAAGCUUUAUAUACUUAUUUAACUAAAAAAUUUUAUUUUACUCUCAAUGAAUUUCAGAGUAAACUAAUUAUAAAUUCACGGAAAGAUAUUUUAAGCUAUUAUUUGAAAAAUAAGAAUGAAACGAAUUAUUUUUAAAAAAAUAAGGAUAAAAUAAGCUAUUAUCUUAAACCCUAAGGAUGAAAAUAGCUUUUUUCUAAUAUAUUUCUAUAUAUAUUUUUAAGCUACAGAACGGAUGAUGUGAUGCAUAUGUACGUGCCUCUAUUCAGCAAAUUCAGAGAAGCAUUAUUGCAAAGUCAACAGUUAACUGUUCAAAGUCAGCGGACAAUUAUGAAAAUUUCUAAUUUCAAUGGCAGCAAAGUCGGGGGAAAAUUAAUUGUUCAAAAUCAAUAUAUAAACAUGGUGGCCCUAGAUAAGAAGAUAACAUGCACGAUAAGGAUAAACAAUUACCCUAAUCUUUCUUUUGUGGACAUGUUAAUAAAAUAAAGACAGAUUGUGAAAGAGGACGUAUCUAUAGAUGGUUGAUUCAGAACUUAAUUAAGAUCAUUCAUUAUAUUUAUUUUUAAUUGAGACAGAGCCUCUCAUGUUGGCGUUAAUAUGUAGACAAGUAUGAAUCUGAUGCGUAAUAGUACAUUUGCAAGUUUGUUUAAUUAAUUGUUAAGUUGAAAUAUAAAACAAGUCUUCCCCAAUCAACCACGAAGAAUUAAGACGCAUUUAGUUUUUUAAUCUGAAAUUUAAAAUCAGUCUGAAUUUGAUGGAAGUCUUAACUGAUGGUUUGAAUACAAAUAUCUGUAUGAUAUGUUUUUUUUUUAAUAUCUAAAUAUAAUUGACAUUAUUUUUGUUUCUAUAACUAAAAAAAUCUUAAAUAUGGUGUUUAACAUUUAUAUCCUUGUAAGUUAAAAUGAAUAAAGGGAUUAGGUUUUAUAGUUUAACAAAUAAGUAUAUUUAAUAGAAAUGUUUUGGGAUAUAAUAUUUAUUUAUUCAUGCCUUUUCUUAUUUAGAUAAAAGUCACAAAAGUUUAGUCUUUUUUUUUUUAAUUCAAAUGUAAAUGUUUGAAAAUCAGAUAUAAAUUAAAAAAAUAAACGAGCAAUUUAAAAAAAAAUCAAAUUAAAAAAAAUCAAAUUUUAGACAUUUAACCAACAAGCCUCCAUUUCAUCUUGGUCAAUGAGAGUCGUUGGCUACCACGAAAUUUCUGAUCCCUGUCUAGUAUGGGCGUGCCAUGAAUUAACCCAAGCGUUUUAAUUUUUGCCUUAAAAAAAUUUCCAUUCUCUGCUCUAGAAAAUUGAAAAAAAAAAGAAAAGUAAAACAUAGUUCACGUUGGUAUUAUUAUUAUAUUAGCAUUAUAAACAUCUCAACCGUUUAUUCGCUAACGCAGUAUCAAUCACCAUCGGUUGUUCUUCUACUGAUUAAAAUACAGAUUUAAGAGCAAAGCAAUUUGAAUGCUUGUAAUUGUUACUCUUGUAUCCAAUUUUCCCCAGGAAUUACAGGAUCAACAAUCCCAUCAAACAUAUUACUUUCAACUUGUCUUUAACUGGGGAAAGCAUUAAUAAAUUAUCAGGACAAGCUUCUUAUAAGUAAAUUUCUGCCCAAACAAAACAUCAAGUAACGACAUCUACCAAAACUAUAAACAUCAUAGUUCUCUCAUUUUCAAUAAAAUGUGUUUUAUUUUGUUUGGGUAAACGUAUACCAAAACUACAUUUUCAAUAAAAUGUGUGGUUACCAUUUUGUUCUAUACUACAUUUUCAUUUUGUGUGGUUACCAUUUUUCCACGGCAAGAUUACAUGGAUGUUGAUUGUAUGAUUUUCUUUAUCCAUGCUCUGCAUUGUUGCGUGUUUGGGAUUCGCCGGCGAAGACUUUUCUUGGCUUUUCUUGACUAAAUGCUCUGCAUUUAGUCAUCUCUCAAAAUGUCAUAUCCUAACACAUAAUCAACGCUCAGACUGAAGACUUUUCUUGGCUUCAAUAAUUGAUGCAGAUUAUACACAGUAGUAUAAAUUGGCAUGGAGUCCAGGAGUUUCGAUAUAACAAUAUAUCCUCAAAGCUAAUGAUAAUUAUAAUGUCAUCCAAAUUGUUCCUUCUAUUUGAAAAUAUAGCUCUGUUUUCUGUGUUGUUUUUUCAAUUGAAGCCCACAAUUGCUGAUUCUAACAAAAAAACGAUAAAGUGCAUUGAUGAGGAGAGAGAAGCGCUUCUCACUUUUAAACGGAGCUUGGUGGAUGAACAUGGCGUUCUGUCUUCCUGGGGAAGAGAAGAUGACAAAAGAGAUUGCUGUAAAUGGAGAGGAGUCCACUGUAGCAACACAACUGGCCAUGUCAAGGUGCUUAAUCUUCGAACAUCCGACGAGGAAAACGCUCAGCGGAAGGCCUUGAAAGGUGAAAUUAGUCCUGCUUUGCUUGAAUUGCAUGAUAUAAGACAUUUGGACCUUAGUAACAAUCACUUCAGUGCAAGCCCAGUUCCUGAGUUCAUUGGUUCCCUCAGCAAAUUGAGGUACCUCAAUCUCUCUUGUAGCAUACCUUUAGAACUCCCUCGUACAUUGCGGAACUUUUCAGGAUUGGAAUAUCUCAACCUGGAAAACUCUCAUUUAUUUAGCGUGGGAAGCUUAGAGUGGCUUUCUCGUCUUUCUUCUUUAAGACACCUUGACCUGAGUUACAUUAAUCUCACUAAAUCUAGAGAUUGGUUUCAAGUAGUUGCCAAGCUCCGUUCCCUAAAAACAUUAGUCCUACGCUCGUGUGCUCUUCCACCUAUCAAUCCAUCGUUUAUUUGGCACUUCAAUUUGAGUACGUCUAUUGAGACCCUUGAUCUUGCUGACAACAAUCUCCCUUCUUCUUCAGUAUACCCUUGGCUUUUCAAUCUUAGUCGGAAUAUGCUUCAUCUUAACCUUGGCUCUAAUUCAUUACGAGGUUCAAUUCCAGAGGCUUUUCAACACAUGGUUUCUCUUAAAAGUCUUUGUCUCUCUGCUAGUGAACUUGAAGGUGGGAUUCCAAAAUUCUUUGGAAACAUGUGUAGCUUAAAAAAGUUUGGCUUGCCUUACAACAAACUCAGUGGACAAUUCUCACAGGUAAUUCAAAAUCUGUCUUGUGGAUGCGUGGUGAAUUCACUAGAGGGGCUAUAUUUACAUGAUAAUGACUUCACGGGGCCAGUACCUCAUCUUGGAGGAUUUUCAUCCUUGGAAGCAUUGAAGCUUGACAUUAAUCGUUUGAAUGGAACUAUAAACGAAAGCCUCAGCCGCUUGUUCAAGCUUAAGACUCUGUCAUUUGAUAGGAAUUCAUUCACAGGAGUUAUCUCUCAAACCUUUUUUUCUAAUAUGUCCAACUUGCAGGAGUUGUUUUUAGCUGAUAACUCUUUGACUCUGAAAUUGAGUGAUGAUUGGGUUCCUCCCUUUCAACUGAAACGUUUAAGUAUCGCCUCUUGCAAGAUGGGACCUCAUUUUCCAAAAUGGCUUCAAACUCAGAAUCAACUUGUGCAUCUUCACAUCGCCAAUGUUGGAAUCUCAGACACUACUCCUGAUUGGUUCUGGGAUCUGUCCAGUAAACUCUCGUACUUAAAUCUCUCUAACAAUCAUAUCAAUGGUAAACUUCCCGAUUUGUCUUUAAGGUUUAAUGGUACUCGUAUUGGUGGUACUUGUAUAGACAUCAAUUCAAACCACUUUGAGGGCCCAAUUCCACCACUUCCUUCAAAUUCGCCGUUCUUAAAUCUCUCUAAAAAUAAGUUCAUAGGGCCAGUUACUUUCUUAUGUUCUAUCAGUGAAAACACAUGGAACUUUUUAGAUCUCUCGAGUAACUUAUUGUCUGGAGAACUUCCUGAUUGUUGGUUGCACUUUGAUAGCCUAUUCGCUCUUAACUUGGCAAAUAAUAGCUUCUCAGGAAAAAUACCAGACUCGAUGGGUUUCCUAAAUAGCAUCCGGACACUGAAUUUACACAACAAUAGGUUAACCGGGGAAUUGCCUUCAUCUUUAAGGAAUUGCUCCCAACUGAGAGUUUUGGAUCUCGGGAAGAACACAUUUUUUGGUGAGAUACCAACGUGGAUAGGGGAAAGUCUACAAAAUUUGAUUGUUCUUAGCCUAAAAUCUAACAAAUUUCAUGGAAAUAUACCUUAUCAAUUGUGCCAUCUGGGAUUUAUUCAAGUCUUGGAUCUUUCUUUUAACAAUAUAUCAGGAAAGAUACCAACGUGUUUCAAUAAUUUUUCAGCCAUGACCUAUGAAAGAUGUUCCAAUCCUACCAUUGGGUUCGGCAAAUACAUCUUAGUUCCCCCUAGAACUGGAUACUACUAUAAAUAUUUGGUCAAUUUACUGUUGACUUGGAAAGGAAGUGAAAAUGAGUACAAAAGUACUUUGGGACUGGUAAAGUGCCUUGACCUUUCGAGUAACAAAUUAGGUGGAGCAAUUCCUGAAGAGAUUAUGGAUCUUGUGGGGCUGAUUGCCUUAAACCUUUCAAGAAACAAUUUAACUGGACCAAUCACUCCGAAGAUUGGUGAGUUAACAUCAUUGGAUUUCCUGGAUUUGUCUAGAAAUCUGUUUUCUGGAAGUAUUCCAUCUAGCCUCUCUCAGUUAAGUGGUCUUGGUGUCUUGGACUUGUCGUACAACAACUUGUCAGGAAAAAUCCCAUUAGGCACUCAGCUCCAGAGUUUCAAUGCUUCAGUGUACGCUGGAAAUCUUGAACUUUGUGGCCUUCCACUCGCAAAUAAGUGUCCGAAUGAAGAAUCCACUCCAUGUCCAGGCAGAAAUGAUGGUGCAAACACUCUUGAGGAUGAGGAUGAUCAGUUUAUGACUCUUGGAUUUUACGUGAGCUUGAUUCUUGGUUUCUUUGUUGGAUUCUGGGGAGUCUGCGGAACUUUAAUGCUGAAUAGGUCGUGGAGACAUGGUUACUUCAACUUCCUGACUAGUAUGAAAGAUUGGGUCUAUGUGACAGCAGCUGUGAAUAUUGCCAAACUGCAAAGAAAGUUUAGGAACUAACUAAACGGUAAUACUCCUUAACAUUGGGUUUCAGUCAUUGUUGUCAGCUCACGUGCUUUUAAUUUCUUCAUCCUUAAAUUUUACUUUUUUCAGCUUUUGUUCCGCUAACUAAUUGUUCAUCUUUUUUUUUUUUUCAUUCACCAUCUUUUUGGCAGGGUAUCUUUCUGAAAAUAUAUUUGGAAUCUUUCUGAAAAUUAACUCAUAUGAUGCACAUUGUAUUUUUGAGUAUAUGCUUAAAGAAACUUGUAUGUGGUUCUCCUUAGACCAUCGUCGAUCUAUGCGUUUAUAUACUCUUGUUAGAGUUCAAUUAUGCUAUUAAUCCAUUACAGCAAUAAAGGCAGUCAAAUUCUGCUCUGCUAUUGAUCAAUGUUUGCUCUUUUUUCCUUUUCAUUGGGUGAAUAAAUAAUAAGAGACAAAUCGAAUCUUUCUAUUUAAAGAGUUGUUAACUAAUAAAACUACUAAAUGGAUGAUAAAAUUAAUUAAUUAAGCUAGAAUAAUCUUAUUAACAAAGUAGGUGGUAGGUUCGUAUGAUUCCGGAUCACUGGUACUAAAAUGUGAAGGAAGAGAUCGAACUUUACAAGAAUUUGUUCUUACUGUAUUCGAACUGGUAAUUGAUUAAAUUUGAUUAAAUUUCUAUGAUGGUGACAUAUAAUGAUGAUGAUCAAAGACUUAAAUAUUAUUUUCAGAGAAGACUAUUGACUUGAAUGCAGACUCAGUAAUAUUAUUGAAUAUCACACAAGACUUUUCUAUCCUAAUUUUUAGCAAUUUUCCAAACGUAUCAUCACAUUCAAGACCCAGCUGACUCUAUAAUUUAACUAACGUGUUACUAACGCACAUUAAUAUUACAUCGCAUUUUCACUGCCAUGGCCAAUUUCAGCGUUUCUCAUCAUUACUCUCUAUUUUGGCAAGUAUGGUAGGAAUCUUUAAAACAGCGUACAAGAAUCAAGGGGAAGAAAUAAGAAACUGUAAAGGAACAUAAGUGGGAUAUAUAGUUUGUGGGAGCAUUCAAUUCAGUUCAUGGGGGCAUAAGCUUAAAUAAUUGAUGCAAUUUUAAGAGGUGUUUUUUCCCCCCUUGUACAAGGUUGCACACAACAGUGGUGAAUAAUAUUGCCAAAUUGCAACAAAGCUGCAGGGGCUAAAAGUUAAGUGUGUGAAUAUAUAUUAUUGCCAAAUUGUUAAGACUUAUAGUUUACCAAACUUUUGUCUAAUUGAUUUUUCUAAGGACAACGUUAGGUGUUGGUUGUUUUUUAAUCUGAAGUCUGAAUUUAACUUUUUUUUAGAUAUUUACUUAUUUUAGUAUAUUUAUUUUUUUAACUUGUCACUUAUCGUCAAACAAUUUUAUCUGAAUAAAAAAAGUAGAAAAAAUCCACUUUUAUCUGAAGUCUGAAAUCUAAAUGAAAAAUUUUAAUUUCAAAUCUCAAAAAUAGCCUUAACAAUUCAUGUAUUUCCAAUAUUAUGUAUAAAACCUAAUAUUUUUGUAUUAUCCUAAGUUUUCUUUUUAAUUGCUUUAAAUUUUUAUUCAUAUGGUAACAUCAACUAGACUAAAAUAUGGAACAAAUUAAAUUAUGUCAAUUGUGAUGAAUCAAAAAUAAAACAACACUAUUGACUUUAUAAUGAAAAUUGAUGUUAUAAUUACAUCUUUUAUUACAAAAUUAAAUUAAAAUCAAUAGUGAUAGUAUUUUUUAUAAUGCUACCAAACUAAUCAACUUAUAAAAAUUAUAAACUAUAAAAAUAAAUAUAUGCAUUAUUUAAAAAGAUAUUUAUGUUAAAUUAUUAACUUUUAAACUUUUCUAUUCAGAUGUUGAAAAAAGAAAAACAAACAUGUCAUUUAAAUAUUUUUAUUCAGACCUAUUUAAACUUCAAUUAAAUUCAAACUUAUUCAAAUUUCAGAUGAAAAAACAAACACGACCUUAGUACUAAGUAAGUAGGGCCAAUUGCCCUUACUUGAUUAGAACAAGCCGUCGUAAAUUGUAUUCAUUAUUUAAGUGUCUGUCCCUAUGAAAUGAAUUGAAACACCCCCAUGAGUUGAAGAAUUUAAGCUCGUACCCUUGUGAACCUUAAUUGGAAUGCCCCAUGAGUUGAAGUUGCCAUCCCUUAAAUUGAAUUCAUUAUUAAGUUGCCAUUGUAAACUGACUUUUGUCUAUGAUUAUUUCGUCGGCCCACAAACAAUUGAUAAUUACAUAAGCAGCGCGCAACAAUCACACACUGGGCCUAAGAAUGAAGCUUGCUUUGUUUGAAAAAAAGAAAAUGCUAAUAGAAACAAGAUAAAUUUAGUACCAAUUUAUUCACUUAUUUAUUUUUUUAAAUAAACCAACACCAAUUUACUCUGUUUCUAUCAGCGCUAAUCAUCAUUUUGUUUGCUUACAAUUAUUGUCAUGGACUCCAGGAUUUUGGAUAUAACAAUAUAUCCUGAAUACCAAUGAUAAUUACAAUACAUUAUAAUGCAACUUAACAUCACCCCAUUUUCAUAGAAGACCAUUGAUUUGAAUGAAUACUCUGUUGUUGACUCAAGACUGUUAACUUAAUGAUUUCUUGUUCUUUCUUGAGCAUGCAUUACCACCCAUGUGCUUCAAUUUCAACCCUGUGAUUGUCUUGCCAACUGAUCAUCACAAACGGGUCCUCUUCUGAAUUCAUAAGUUGCAGUAUUUUGAAUUACAAGUCUCCUGUCAUCAAGUCUCCAUUCAGAUAUUUGAUUGAACCCCAAGCUGAAUUCUUCAAACACCCUGCUCAUCUUAACUGUUAAACAAUAAAUUUUCAUUGGAAUUAAUUACAAGUUACUAAUUAAGUAUUUCUAUCAAAAACUAUUUAAAAUAAUUGAGGAACUUAUCCUCCUCUGCAAUAUGCGCUUGCAGCCAUACCAAUCACUUCUGAAAGUCGCAUAAGAAAAAUAAUGUGUGUUAAUCCAUGACAGCAGCCUCAUCCGAUUUGAAUAUGGCAUCAUCAUAUCUUAAAUAGAUAAUAUUAUGAUCUUUAUACGACAGAAUAUAUGACAUUUUAACUCAAUAAAUUGCAAACAAAAGUAUGGAGACAAGUAUAUUUAUUAAGAAGACAAUUAAUAACCAUUUUAUUAAAGGGUUAAAAGGCAUGUAAGUACUUUUAAGGCAUGUAUUUUCACAGAAACCAUCUUUCUUCUAUCAUCUCUCAUCUUUUCACCUUUUCAUUAUUUUCCCAUUCUUCAAAAUUUCUCUCUUCUAUAUUUCUCAAAUUAUGGUGUAUAUAUGUCAAAGGCAUGUAUUUUCUGAUUUAAGGGGCUGCUGGAAUUAGGAAUAUAGCUUGUACUCUUAUAGGUUGUUGGAAAUUAUCAAAAGCCACAGAGCAGGCAGAAAGUCAAUGAAGCCAUUGGAUUGGAUUGCUAUUGCAUAUUAAGCUCCUGUUGCUGCAGCUACUGCUACUUUUUAAAAUCCACUCAAUUGGUCAAGAAAUUUUUUCAGAUGCUCCUAAAAAUAUUUAUAUAUAUAAUAUGUUUGACUUAAGAUUAUACUCCAAACUGAGAACCAAUACACAGUUAAACAAAAAGGUUUUCUUUCAGCUUUAGUUUUUAUAACUCCAUCCUUGACGCACUAGAUUAAAUCACUAACUUUCAUACAAACUACAAAAGAGAAGUGCAUGCAAUUGUAUCACAAAAUCCAUAAAGUGUGUCAACACGAAAACAUUUAGAGAAAUUGGAUUAUUAAUUUUCAACAGAGAGUAUUAGAAUUUUUGCAGCGUCAAGAUCAGAACCAAACUAGAUGACAGAUACAAUAAGGCAAGUGGUGAAGAAAUAGCACGAAGACACUCAGAAAAAGCAAAUUUAAAUUUGACGAGCUCCAGAUGCUUAACCUAAAAAUAACAAAGAUAUUGCAGGUUUAUAUAAUAGGAAAGAUGACACAGAAAAAGCAUGGAAAAGCUCACAGCUCCGUUGAAAACCGAAAAUCCAGCAUUGGCUUGCAGCCACGCUCAGUCUCGUCCUGAAAUCAGACCGAAUUCUGGGUAUGUGUAAAACAGGACAGCAGCCUCAUCCAAUUAUGUUCACCUAUAAACAAUAUGAAGUCAUACGACGUUUUUGUCUAUAAAUGAGAAAAAUAAAGUACUAUUGAUCUUUUGAGAAACAUAAUUCUUUUUUUUUUUUUUUUUGGCUAAGAAACAAAUCUUUUGAGAAACAUAAUGAUAAUUCGAAAUGAAAAAUAGAUACGAACAAUUAAGUGGAAAAUUUAAUUUGUGAGUGCAUUUCAAUUCAGUUUAUGGGGGCAUAAGCUUAACUGAUGGGUGUAAUUUUAAGAGUCUUUUCUCUUAAUCAACCAGCAUGAAUAAUAUUGCCAAAUUGUUAAUACUUAUAGUUUACCAAACAUGUGCCUAACUACAUUUUUGUCUAAUUGAUUAUUUAAAAGGAUGGAGCUAGUAUUAGGCAAGUGGGGGCAGUUGCUCUCGCUUGAUUAAAACAGCCGAUAAAUUGCAUUCAUUAUUUAAGUCUCUAUCCACGUGAAUCUAAAAAUUCUAUUAAAAAACUUCUAUUUUUUUAACGAUAAUUUAAAAAGACUACCAAGAAAUUUCUUUUCCAAAGGCAUAUUUACCUGAACGAAGACUUGUUGAGAAGGACAAGGUUUAGCUACUCCAAUGCAGAAUAUAAAACACAAGAGGCUAGACUUAACAAUAUAUCCUCAAUACCAAUGAUAAUUACAAAAUCAUUUUCAGAGACCUUGUUAACUUACAUUAUAAUGUAACUUAACACCACCUCAUUUUCUGAGAAGAUUAUUGACUUGAAUGAAGAAUCUGUUGUUGACUCAAGACUAUAGACCUGAAUGAAUUCUCGAUCUUUCUUGUGCAUGAAUUACCGCCUCAAUAAUUCAAUUUCAACCCUCUGAUUGUUUUGCCUACUGACCAUCACAAAAGGGUCCUCUGAAUUGACAAGUUGCAGUAUUUUGAAUUACAAGUCUCCUGUCUUCACUUCCCCAUUCAGACAUUUGAUCGAACACCAAGCUAAAUUCUUCAAACACCCUGCUAAUCUUAACUCUUAAAAUGUUCUGAUUGAAUUUUAAAUGGCAGUAAAUUUUUCACUGUAGUUAAUUACAAGUUACUAAUUAAGUAUUUCCAUAUUAGUUAAUUGUAUGAAAAUAAUCGAUGAACUUAUCCUCCUCUGGAAUUAUGAAUCUAGAUUGUACUCUUAUAGGUAUCGGAAAUAAUCAAAAGCCACAGAGCAAGAAGAAAGUCAUUGAAGCCCUUGGAUUGGAUUGCUGCUAUUGCAUAUUAAGCUCCUGCUGCAGCAGCUAGUGCUAUUUUUUAAAUCUACUCAAUUGGUCAAGAAAGUUUUUCGGAUGCUUCUAAAAAUAUUUAUAUGUAUAAUAUCUUUGACUUAAGAUUGUACUCCAAGCUGAGAACCAAGACACAGUUAAACAAAAAAGUUUUCUUUCUGUGUUAGUAUUUAUAAAUUCAGACCUUGACACACUAGACUAAAUCUCUAACUUUCAUACAAACUACAAAAGAUAAGUCCAUGCAAUUGCGUCACACAAUCCAUAAGUAUGUCAUCACAAAAACCUGUAGAGAAAUUGGAUUAUUAAUUUUCAACAGAGAGCAUCUGAAUUUUUGCAGCUUUUACAGCAUCGAGAUUCAG
rnacentral:lncRNA from 1 species